AUGAAACAAGUUGUAAAUGAGUUUAAUGAGCCAGGAUAACACGCCGUCUGCACAACUAUUUGAAAGUGGCAUGACUGCUCUACAUAAAAUAAAAUUACUUAUUUAUUUUUGGCACGAAUAGUUUUAGAUCUUUUCUUACAAAGUGGGACUUCUUUAAUGUGUUGUGCUCCUUCUUUUCCCAACACGUGAUUUUGUCGCUGUAGUGUCUCAGUUUAAUGAUGAUGUUUCUUUCUGUACGUCUGUACAUGACUAACUAUCCGUUCAUGUAAUUGUCGGCUUUGUGUUUUAUAAUCCUUUUUUGUUUGGUUUUAUACUGGUUAAGUAGUUUUGUUGCUUUCGUUGGGUUUGAUCAAUUGCAUUGUUUCAUCAUGAUAUUAUGAAUUAUUGUGGUUCUAGAAGUCGGUAAAGUUUUAUACGAAAAGUGUAGAAGUUGGGACUUUAUGUCGUCUUUAUUUUUUUUUUUUUUUUUCCUUUUCUUUUCUUUUCUUUUUCUCUUUUGGCUAAUCAAUUGAUUAUUCUUGGAUAUCAUAUUCCUCAUUUUCGGAUAUUAUCCAGAAUCGUUUAAACUUUAGUCAUUUUAUUAAAGUAUUUUAAACUUAUAAAACUAAAGCGACGUUCUCUCUCUAUCUACGUGUCUUUUGUUUCGUCAAUGGAACGACCGCUACAACAACCUCUCGGUCAGUUCGGGGAGUAUGUUGGGGAGUGGUCUACAUCGUGUGCACGAGACUUACAUGGACGUUAGUGGGGGUGUUUUGUUUAAGUAUUACUCCUAAGUUUGUUAUUAUUUUCGAAAAGAAAUUUUUUUACUCCCCCGGUCUAAAGUUGUUGACUUUCUCUAAUGACACCAUUAACAAUAGACAACUAUCUAAACCUGGUACUAAACUUAAAUAUAGUGAAUUCUUAAACUUCUUCAGAACUACUUCCCCGUCGUUAGAGUAGUAACGGUUUAUAUAUAACGUAAUAAAAGCAAUUUAUACCUGGGAACAUUUUAAUGGAAUUAAAAGUAUAUACGGGAAUUUUAAGAAAUAAAGAAUACACGAAUUAAGGACGUUUUUACUGGAGAAUUCUGUGAGAAACAUUAUACUUUGGUUGAAGUGGGUACUUCGCCUACUGUGGGGUUCCCCUUGUAUACUCUUUUAGGUAUGUAAUACCCCAAUUUAUACAAAUAUCUACUAGACACCCCCGUAUGUACAUUUUCGGGAAUUUUAAAUUCCUAAGAAGAAGAUACCUGCAUGUGUAGUCUUGUUUGUUUUAAUGUUAUUUUUUUUUUUUUUAAUAUGUCGAACUAAUUCUUGCUCACCAUAUACUACGUAUCUAAUGUCGUAUGGUCACGGAGACUGCAUCCCUCACUUCCGGUUCGAAUAGCCACUAGAGUCGUCGUAAGUAUCGUAAUCCCUCUAGAACGAACAAGCGUUUCUGCUCGUUGUGCCGUAGCGCGUUGAGUAGGACAGCGGUAAUGUUUCUUCUAGUAUUCUAAAAAAAUUUUUUUUUCUUUAUAUUGAUCAAUCAUGAUGAAAACACCUUAAAUAUAAAGAAAAAUGUUCUGUCUUCUUUCAUAAGAAAGGUAAUAUGUAAAAACAUUCAUAGCUUUCAAGCAUUAUAUAAGGAUACGUUAUAUUUUGUUCCCCGUAACAUUAUAUACUCCUUAUCAGUUUCAAACAGUUCCCUCUCCUACUCAGCUGGAGUAACUCGUAGGACACCUCGAGUAGAGAUCGGAGCUGUUAUGCUAGGGACAGUAACGACAGCUGCUGCUUCUAUUCCGGGACGCACAAGACCUUCAUUACGGAGGUGUUACCCGCCUAGACAAAAAUUUCUUGUAUUUUAUAUUUGGUUUUAGUAGUGGAACAAUUGUUUUCCCUUAUUAUUAUUAUUUUAGGGUUGUUAGUUUUACCAUAUAGUCCUAAUUUUUUACAACGAGAGGUUUUGAUUAUCUAUUGAAUCUUUGGUUUUAAAAAAUGACGUCUUAGAAGUUGUCACGGAUUAUCUGUUUUCCUUUCGUGUUCAUCCUGGUUUUAAACCAGUCUUGUAAGUUGGUUGAGGUCGUCAUGUAGUUUAGGAAUUGAUAUUUCGUCACCAUGUUUUCUUUCUCGUAUGGAACAGGACCGGUGGUUGUAGGGUAUGCCACUUCGAUUACAAGAAUAUGAGGUGUCAAAGGUGUAACUUAGGACGUAUAAAUUCGGGUUUUUUUAAUGUUAUGUUUGGCUGUCUUCUUUAGACUUUGUUUCACGUUAUAACUAUGUAUUCUUUAUAUACCGUCUCUUUUUGUCCAUUUAUUCAGAACUAGUACAGUGUCCCUAUUUUAUUUUUGUUGUUGUUUGUCACUUAGUAAAGAUAUUUAAACUUUCAGUGUGGUUCCGAUUUAGUUAGAUUUAGAUGUCGUCAAUGGUUAAAGCGACAUAGGCGGAAAGGGAAGAGAAAUUCUGGGUCUAGGUAAACAUUAAAGUAGGUGGUGAAAGUAAAUAAAGGAAAAAGUCUUGACAAAAUAAACAGUAGAUUUCUGAGGAUGUGACUUUUCGUACACGCUGAUUAAAGAAAAAAUAAAAAACCGUCGGUAGAUAAAAGAUAGUCGAGUGUACCGUAGACAUCGUCUAUUUUGAACCAAUAAUAUUCUUUAUGUUAUGUUAGAUUCAAAUUAACAUUAAAAAAAAUGACGUUUACUCAACAUUCGUAAUUUAUAUCGUUAUUACUCUUGAAGGAUUAUUGAAUUAAAGAGUGUAAUAAAAAGAGUAUUCGUUGUGUUCCCAUUCUUCGAAAAGGGUUUUUUAGUCUAAUUAUCGUAAAGGAGCACCUGGAGGAUUUUAUUAAGUUAUCUAGGUGUGCUUGUUUUCUUUCUCGAUAGGAUUAAAGCGACGUUUUCCUGUACUUUUUCGGAUACUUCCCCUUUAUGUCAACAACGGAGGGUAGUCGUAUUUCUUAAUGUCAACAACUGUAACUGCCAGCGAUACCGUUUGGAAAAAAUUUUGUAUGGGGAUUGUUUCGUACUAAGAUGAAAGGAUCGUUACAGGCGUGUAUUGGUAUAUUAUGUCGUAUUGUACUAACGUUCGUAAUCUUGAACUAAGUAUCGUAACCUUGAACUUAGUUAAUUAUCGAGAGAUGUUUAAGGUAACGAAGGAGAGACAAGAGAACGAUAUAACUGCUACUUUGUUUACCGUUAAGCUACAAUGGUUCAUUUAUACAACGUCUAGUUUAGUUACAUCAUCGUCCGAAGUAGUAACGUAUUCCUUUUUUGAUUUUCCUAGUUUCCGAGUGGCUAGCACCCUUACCACCACUGCUAGAGAGGCUCGAACUCGAACAUCUCCUACCAGCAGAAUGGUCGGCGUAGUUCGGGUUGGUAGUUAUAGGAGUAGAGGAAGAAGCGUUUCUCCGCCGAUUUCUCGAAGCACUUCCACUCGGGGUAGAAAGGAGAGGACAUUGUUGUGUGGUGUUGUUAAGUUGAAUCUAGAGAUGUCUAGGGUCGUCUAGGUUUGGGAUUACGUUGUUUGAUUGCGGUUUUUGUAUAGUUUGGGGGGUUUAGAUGUUCUAGAUUGUCCUUACCCUUCGGCUUUGGUUCUAAAUGUUGUAGUUUAAGUUUAUGACGUAAGCUAGUUUAUCUUUUCGAUAAUUAGCUAUUUUAGCUAGUUGUUAUCAUUAAUUUUAGUUGGGUAGAUUGUCGAUUCUGCCUUAUUGUCCUGAUUUUCUGGUGUUUUGGAUAUUUUUUUGGCUCUAGCUAGCUUCUGGGUACCUUAUUAUUUCCUCUUACUAGCCUUAGCUUCUAGGUUAGUUUUAUUUGUAUCUUUACCUUCUUUUUGGCUAGUUAGGUAGUCAAUGUUGCUAAAUUUUCCACUUAGCCUCUAGGCUUUGGGAUUCUUGUUGCUCUAGCUAGCGUCUAGGUUCUCUCUUAUCUCCUUUUCCUAGCAUUAGCUCCUAGCCUAGCCUUUUGUCUCCAGCUAACCUAAUGGGCCUGCUAGAGAGCGAGAGCAGCGCGCGAACCCUAGCCUCAGAGGCGAAGAAGAAGGAGCGAAGGAGGAGGGAGAGAGAGAGAGAGAGAGAGAGAGAGAGAGAAGCGCUCUUUUCCUUCCUAGCCUCUCUCUCUUGUCUCCUUUUGCUUGCCACCCACCGAAUCCGACUAAGCGGUGAGGCAAAAAUAUCACCCACACCACGCCUUUCCUCUUUUAAGGGGCAUCUUGACCAGAUAUCUGGUAAUUGAAACAUCCAGCUCUUUUCUCGGGGUUUACUGAUUUAUCAGGGACAUGACUGGGCUAAAAAACCGGAUCAGGGACUUGUAAAAAUAAAUUUGUAAAAUGAAAGAAGAAAAAAAAAAUGUUUUUUCGAAGAUGAAUAAAUGAGGAGUGAUGAUUAAUUUUAAAAAUUUAAAUAAGACUUUAAUAUUUUAUAAAAAGGACUUUAGGUUAGAUAAAUCAUUUAAGAUCUUUUUACUUCUAUAAAAUUCUUUUUAGAAUUUUGGUUGUUCUUAUAAACCUAGGAGUUGUUUUUAUAAAACUAGGUCAUUAUUUAUUUUAUAAAAAUUUUAUGACUUAUCGUAUAAUCUAUAAUAGGGAAUUUUGUUAUAUUAAUACUCACGAUCUUUUUUAUUUUAUUAAAAAUCUGUAUAUUUUAGUUAUAACUUUGUAAUAAGAUCUAUAAUUAUAAAAAAAUUUUAAAUAAAAUACAAUCUUCAAAAUUAAGAUAAGAUGUGCUUUCAAAAUUUUCUAAUAUAGUUUUAAUUUUGAGAGCAAUACAAGACCUUCUGUUAUUUUUUCAUAUCUCUUAAUUUCCUAAUUUUAUUUUUCAAGUCCUGAUGCAACAUUAUAACCUUAAAAUGUCACUGAUAAUUAAUCUAAAACGAAAUCUUAACGAGUUAUUAUUUUGUCGCCACCCCCUAAACAACGCGGAUAUUAAACCAACCCGAGUCCCUAAUGCACCACUUUGCCCACAUCCCUAUACAUAAUAAUCCGCCUUAUACUUACGCUACGAAGCGCAGUUGGAAUGCGUGUACUCUUCGCAACAUCGCGCUGGCUUGGCCUGGCCUUAGUCGUAUACGACAUAUUCAACCUGGCCCGGCCUAAACCUGGCCGUGUCACAUUAUUUAAAUUUUUAAGUUUUACUCUAUGCUCUCUAAGGUUCUCAAUUUUUAAGUUUCGUCUCGAAGAAGUUAAAUAACAUAAACUUUAUCCUAAUGUUAUUGUGUUUUCUUUUAUAUCUAAAAGAAACCACCGGCAUUCAUUUUAAAGUUAGGUGAAUUUUGAAGUCUCGAUUUUAUAUAUAUUUUAUAAUCUCUGAUUUAACGUUAUAGUCUUAUGAACCCGGUGAUAGGCAAAUAAAAUGAUAUACUUAUCGUUUAAAACCCCCCUCUUUUUCUUAAAUCCGAAACAAACCUAAACGCCCCUCUAACGCAAUGCAUGCCACCCUUUCAUGCAACCUUUUUAUAAGACAAACAAAGACAUGCAUUAUAACGUAAGGCGUAUAACGCUAAUCAGCCAAUGCGAUAUAAAAGACGCCAGGGUGGCCUCUUGCGCUUUCGUAUAGGGAUAUACGAAAAAAGUGUUGAGGUAAAAUAGAUUAUCGCAAUAUAUCCGGAGUUAUGGUUUGAUUCGGAAUAUUUAGCAUUCGUUCCAAGCAAUGUUACCUCCACCAUUCAGUAAAAGUUUUUUAUGAAGAGUGAAUAUCACUUUUUUAGUCUUUACAAUUGAAAUACAAUAUUAAGUUCUCGUACUCUUAACUUAAAAUAUAAUAGAACAACUUUUGUGGGACGUUACGUGAGAAAUUGAAAUUAAAAAAAAGGGAACAGUUUUCUUUUUUUAAAAAAGAUAUUAGGCGAUGACUGUACAUUUUGAUGACUUGAUCGUUACCUAAUCUGUCUCUUGUGUUUUGUACUAAACCCACCUUUUAUAAUAUGUUUUUUACAAGUGGUUUAGUUGUUACACUAAAUGUACUAACGCCUAGAGUAGCGUUUAGCGAUCAUUCUAGCGUUACAAAAAGAGUCUCGAACUGUGCUAGCUCGAUUCGAUUGAAUUUAAGAACAGUAAAUAUCAUCUAGUUUUGAGUUAGACCGAGUAAAUUAAGCACAGUUUAAAUGUAAUGGGUAUUUCUUGAAUAAUCCAUAGGUGGGUGUCAUAUAUGAAUUGAUUUAACUUAACACAUCAAGACUCAUAUUUGUAAUUAUAGUGUAGAACUCUAAUAAAAGAGUUGUACCGACUGCCAUUUAAAAUUAUAAGAUAUCAGAAAUCCAAUUCUCUCAAAUGUGCACAAAUCAACACGGAAUUUAAUUUUCUCGUGCUCGAGUUCGGGUUAGAGUUUAGGUUGGGUCCAAGUUCAAUAAAAUGGGACUUAGGGUAACACAGUUCACAGGAAAAAUUCACGUGCCACGUUAAAGCAGGAUAGUAUAUAAAGUUAAUAAAAGUUAGCACGACCAUGUAAACGCCAUAGAUACUCGUUAUAGUUCGAGAUUAAAACAUGUAGGUAAAUUUAAAUCUCGGUUACAAGGUAAGGUUAAUACCAUGGAAAAAAAAAGUUAAUUUAGUUUAUAAAGCUGAUUUUACACAUCCUUAAAAACUUAAUUUUUUUAAGUUUAGAAUCUCACGUUCCUCCGUUAAAUAAUCAAACUCAAAGCUUUAAAGGUUGGGGAUCUAAAAAAAAAAAAAAAGUUUUUCACCAUGUCGAGAGCUUUACUUGUAUUACUUGUCUAAAAAAACAAAAACAUAUGUUUUCUACUGGUAAUAUUUUUAAAAAUUUUAAAACUUUAAGCUUAUUUAUCGUUUAUUAUUCCUCUCCCUACUCCGUAGAGAGAGAGAGAGAGAGAGAGAGUACAUAGAAUCGAUAAAAGAACCUCAUUAGGAUAUAGAGAUGUUAUUUUAGAGAUAACAAAAGGGUUUUUUUUUUUUUUUUUUUUGUUAGAGCGGGGAGGAUAUGACAUAAUGACAUCAGAUAUUUAGUGUAGUGUUUAGAGAGAGAUUUUUUUUUUUUUAUGUUAAAGACGUUUUUAAUUUUUUUUUUAGGGGAUCGAAAAGUGACGAUGAUAAAAAUGAGCGGGGAAAAGAGGAGGUAUAGUGGGGCUGAGGCAAGAGAGAAAGAGCGAGAGAGAGGGAGAGAGAGGUAAAGCAAGAGGUAAAGCGCCUCGAGGAAGCUCCCUCUCCUCCCCCUACUCCGUCUAGGGAAUCAGAGAGACUAGGGGCAGCUAAAUAGCGAAGGGUGUCUCAAGCUAGCGCGGGGGUUAGCCAAACUAAGCUCCACUAAACGAAUUUUAAAGGCUAAAAAUCCAAAUAUCUACCUCAAGCCUUUAUUUUUUCGAUUUAAAAGUGAUGAACAUCAACGAUUAAAACACGCGAAAGAGUCUAAGGACCAAAUUUACACGUGUCCGCCUCUCAUAAAUCCUAGAUAUGUACCAAAGAUAACUCAAAAUCCCAAAAAAAAUUUUUUUAUAUUAAAAACCGAAAUUCAACCAAAUCUGAAAAAGAUCUCAACGACGGUAUAUUUCUCUGGGGUAAAUACACGAACAACAAUUCAACAUAACUAAAAGAAUGAUAUAAAAACCGAUAUCUCAACUAAAUCUCAAAUCGUCCUCAACAAAAAUACCUCCUUUUUGUUUUCUUAAAAAUGAUUUCGUCAACGAUUAAAACCUGAAAAUACGACUAAGUACCCAAAUAAACACAACACAAACUCUCUCUAAAUUUUAGAUAGGUAGCAAAGGUAACUCAAAAACAAAGGAAAGGUUAAAAAACGAAAUUUCAACUAAAUAUGAACGGAACCUCAAUAACGAUAUAUUACUUUGAAGUAAAUUCUUGAGUAAAAAUUCAAAAGAAACAAUGAAGAAUAACUAAGGAAUCACUAAAAAUACUUACACCCUCAAAACCUUCCUAAAAAAAAUGGGGGGUUGUCGUCAAUGAUGAAAACCUAAGAAUGAGAUAAACGAUCCAAAAUUUACGUAACCCAGGUUGUCCUAAAUUCUAGAUAGGUAAAAAGCGAAACCCAAACUUAACAUAAUUUCUAAAGCAGUACUUGAACCUAAACAAUAAUAUUAAAAAAAACCGUCUUUUACUAUUGAAAAACACACAAAGUAAGAAACAGGUAUAUAUUCGUUCCUGACGGAAAAAUAAAAACAGCCUUAAAACGUAAUUAACUCGGCGACAUCACCGCUUUCGAGUCUUUUAAGAAUAGAAAUCUCUCUUGAUUAUCCUCUAUAAGUAUUUUUAAACUAACUCUAAUUUAUACUUUCCUAACCUAACCUAUCUACCGAGGUCUUUAUUUCUCUAUUUUAAGUGACACUAGUACUAUCUAUUAAUUACUUGGUAGGUGUAUCUCUUUCCAGUCUAUUUGAAUAGAAAUGACAGGAAAAAAAAAUUUUUUUAAACAUAUAUUAGAAUAUUAUCCCACCACGCCUCUAAAAUGCUAGUUUAUAUGAAUUCUGCCAAGUGUAUUACAAAUCCUAUACAUGUUUAACCACUUAUAUAAUAGUACUAUUAUAAAAGUAAAUUUUUUAAAACGAGUCAAAGAUUACUAACUCCCAUCGAAGUACCAAAACCAGUCUUCAGCAUAGUAAUAUAUAUUAUCUAAAUCUACGAGACACACUGACACACAAUAGAAUGGAUAGGAACAUUAGUCCGAACCUGUUUACUGAUUACGUUUUUUCCCUUGACUUUGAUGUUAGUACGGUUUCCUAGCCUAACUAAGAGGUAGGAAACUACUUCCAUCGUCAUCGCCGCCUAGUCGAUUACCUCCUCGGGGACAAAAUUUCUUCCCUGGAACCUGAAGACGACUUCUACGGUAAGAGUAGCUGAUGCAAUUCUUCGUGCCCCUCCCCUUGACCUUACGACAAGUUUUCUUAAGCCCGGACAGCGCGACGCCAUUCUCGACGGCAGAGGCUACCCGAUUAGUAGACUCCGGUUUGAACUUCUCUCCACGGUAGUGAGUUCUCCUCCUCCUAUUCUAGUAAGUUGACGUGCGAUACAAUCCCUUGUUUACCCGAUUUUACCGACGAGCACAUUCAUUUAUAAAACAGGAAACAUGACGUUGGAAUAAAUCGUAUCACUACGGAUUACUGUCACGUAAAACGUUAUCCAGGUGUUUGAAAUUUUUACAAAAUAAUGGAUUGGAAAGUGAUACAAACUAAAUUGAUGGAGAGUUAGUUUUGAACUACCAUAAACCCUUGGAAAGAUUACUUUAUAAGACAAUAUAGUACCUUACAAGACAAUGAAGUACCCUAUAAGACAUUGAAGGAGAAGGAGAAGAAGAAGAAGCAACCAAAAUUUGCUGUUCGUAGUUCAAGAUCGUCUUGUAUUAUACUCAAAGACAAGAGUUUUCAUAGCUUUGUCAUCCAACGUUCUAACUUUAUAAAAUGAGUUAUUUUACGUUAUAUCAACUCCACUCAAGAUACGUAAAAUGGAAGAAAUAGGAACCAAAACAAAAUCGGAUACGAAAAACCAACGUCGUGUAUACAGGCAUUAAAACAGUAUUCAGAAUCAUUAUAUUUGACUUGUUCAGAGUGAAAUCGAAGAUGGGAAGAAUUAUAUAACUAAGGAGGAGGAGCCUUAGACAUGAACCAGUACUUAAGUAAGACUGCGUAUAUUUCGACACAAAUCAUGUUUUUUUAGGAGUAACAUAUUAUUUAAGGUUCAGGAGGAAACGGACGCUGAGAUAAAAUAUUUUUCCGUAUAAUACGUAUGUCAAUCGAACGUAUGAGGGCGACAAACUAUUACGAGAACUACCAAUUCAAGACAACAUAGAUAGCUACUUCAAACCUAUGAGGUAGACAUUUCUUACUUCAUGUAAAGUAUAUUUCACUGUCUAUUUAAACGUUUUCUUAUCAAUAUAUAAACUACAGAGUUAUAAAAACCCAUACACCUCUUAUAGUUAUCUGUGUUCUUGAUAUAAAGAAGUUGUACCCCAAAAUUGACUAACCUAUAGACCGUGAGCAAACCGAAGAAUUUUCGAGAUCUGUAGAGGCAAUGAACAUAUAGAAUCAAUUUCUCUUCACUGAAGAACGAAAGAGUAUACAGAGCUAGAACAUACUUCUAGAUAUGAAGAAAAGGAAGUUUGUCAACAAAAGACGUUAAAGUAAGAUACACGAAAAAAAAGUCCAAUAUCACUGUCUCCUACUCAUUUAGCGGGAUUCCGAGGAAUUGGAGAUUAGUAUCGAAAUCAAAACAGGAAGCGGAAUUUUAAAUACCUAAACUCAGGGAUCGGAAGCGAUAAACAUCGUUAAGGUAAAUAAAGGAGGUUCAACCUAUAUAGGUGUGUUAGUGGUGUAUUGAGGGCACAUUCACCGAAAACUGAAGAGUAUACCACUAAUACACCAUAAGAUAGGUCAUAUUCCUUUUUUUACCCUUGUAUUGUCUUACGAUUUCUCAUGUUUGUUUACCUUUACAACCCCUUAGUUGACUUUAUAAAAUCUCCAACCCCCGGACGCUACGUUAUAUACACUUUCUCCUGAUAAAAUAUGUUGGGACUAUUAAAGAAAAACUCUAAACAAAUUUAAAAGGUCUUAAUUUGAGUUUAUACGAAAAAAAGAAGUCAAUGGUCCCGCCUGUCUAUUGCUCUAUUUCUUGAUAACCUUGUGGGCCUAUUUCUUCGCAAACGCUUACCCCAAUGGUUAAAUGGGUCUUUUAUAGUGACAAGUUCAUGUUUUGCUUUUAGUCGUUAGAGUGCAGCGAUCGUCGAAAUCGUCGUCAAAGGGACUUUCCGGUUUGAUAUAAAAGGUGCCUUUGUUACAACUGAACGGAAUAUAGUAGAAGCUGUUAAAUUUACGGUUGGGUCCUCGGAAUAGGAUGGAUGGCGGUGGUUUGAGAUUAAAAAGAGAGAGAUCGUACGCAUAAGUCUCAAACCCCCACGUUUUAGCAACGAAGUGCUUAAGUUACUUGGUGUGUUCUGUCGAAUUACUUUGCUAGAGAGAAGGGUGACCCGAAGGACAACAACUCGUUGAGAGGUCAAUAAGAAUACUAGGACUGGGACCGUCAUUCUUGGGUCUUCGCGGAGAUCACUCACGAAAACCACCACCGGUAAGGGAAAACUUACCGAAGAGGAGACGAAGAUUCGGGGAAGUUCCCCGGCACUUCAACCUCGAGGGAAGUGAGGUUAUAAGACUCUGACUAAAAUGGUGCCUACUAGGAACCAAUCUAUUUCGUCAACUAUGAAUAGACGUUAGAGGACGAUGUUAAGUAAGCCACGUUUUGUUGUGAAAACGGAGAUACGUUUUAUGGCCAGAAAAUCUUAGGGAAUAAUUGUAUAGUGGUUGACAUUUGUCGAACCUUUUAGCCGGUACGGGUUUAUCAAGACCAAGAAGUCAAAACUGUUGGUUACUGAACCGUCUUCGAGGACUCUAAUUACAGAUGUUGGUUGCGAACCAUCCAAUAUUACUUUAUCGAAGAGGCACCUCAUUUAAAGGAUGAAAAAAUUUACUCACGUGCGGAGGAGAAACGUCGUCGGGCGAACUACUCGAAGGUGGGGGGUUGAGCGGAAAACCAUUCGUAGACAUGACGAAAUAUAUUAUUAGAGCGAAACACACAGACCGGGAUCGAAUACAACUUCGAAGAGACAAGGUUCUUCACCCUGUCAGAUCGUAGUCAGUUUACCUUCAAACCUGAAGAACAACACCAUUCUUCGACUUUACUUGAAAACUUGGGGUUUCUCGUAUUUGAGAAUUGAACUUCAAAGACGAAAACAACAGCACCCUUCAACAACGCUAAUCACAAAAAAGUUUCUCAAAACAUCUUAAUAAGAUAGAUCCGGUCUUUCAAAGACCGAAGAGGUUUUCGUCCUUCAAGAUGAAGCAUAGAAGACGACGAUCGACGUCGUGUUCCGACAAACUGUCCCAAAAAGUUACAUUUCGUUAAUCAGGAAGUCUGUCGAGAUGGAUCGUUCGUAAAGAGGACUUCGAGAAAUAAAAUCUACGCAUUGAACUUUAAGUGUAAUGAUUUUGAAGGUGUCCUAGCUUAUAAUAGAAACGAAGACCACUCGUUUAAGGUCCGGGUGCCAGUUCGCUUGUUCUUUGGGAUAGAGCGGGCCUAAAGAAUUCCGGUCUGCUUAACGAACUAAGAUUGACCAAAGUACCUUCAAGACUUUAACGUUUUCUUCUAAUACUACAGUUGCUCCAUUAUUGCCGUGAAAAUCGACUUCUGAAAACGUUGUCCGGACAAAGAUAGCUAAGUUGAAUAUAUAAGUCAUUACCCGAGCCGGAGUUACGGAAGGGCACCUUCUUGUACGGAGUCCGAACAGUUUACAAGCUUUUAGGAACUCUAGAAAAUAGCUUCCCGAUUUAACGUCCUCUGGGGAAUAUUUAUAACACUAAAAGUGUAAUGGGACGACUUUAAAUCUUUGUUGUAGAAUAGGAUAACCGUGAGUACUGCCUCCCCUGCCCCCCUUCUACUACUAUAGAACCUCAUACGUCCUAAGUUAUAAAAUCGGCCUUAAUUGCCUUUGACGCUACAAAUAACCCCUAAAGGAAGUUAAAUCGGACAUGCACUUGAAUCUAAAUAAAGCCGAAACCCACUAAUUAUCAUGAAACGAUCACAUCGGUAACGAAUACAAAGAACAAACAUUGUCAUUUUAUAAUCUACAAUAUACGAACGAAAUUCGUAAGCUGCCCAAUUAAUCCCGAUCAUUAAAUGACACUUAACAACAACUUAUUAUACUCCCUCUAAUUGCUACAAUGGGCACUAUGAAGUUAAAGUGUAUACCUCCUCAAUAAACAAAAAGGACAAUUUAUCAAAUGACGACGUACCGAAUAAAACAAAGUCGUAAGUCUCAUAAGACAUCGAAAACAACGUAAGUCCCAUAAGACAUCGAAAAUAAAGUUCACUUAUAGUAAGCCUCGUACGAUAGGCAUGUGAAAAUCUAAUGCACAAGUAGAGUGUAAGAUAAGUAGGUUUCUAAGAAUAAAAAGUGAACAAAAUAGUUGAAUAAAACAUUUGAGAUCCUACGCACCCCACAUUUUAAAUAUGGAUACGUAUUCUCAGGUCUAUCCAUCGUAAAAGGAUAGUAAAUAACAAUAAAAAAAAUAAGGUGAAAUAAUAACUAAGAUACCAAAUAAACUAAACUUAAACGUAUUGCAAAAAUAUAAUAACGUAUCAUUUAUUCAACAACCAGAGAGAGAGAGAGAGAAUUCAACGUUAUCACCUCACGGAGAGGUAGUUAGUCUUAUAUAUAUAUAUAGAAGACGAAAGCGUCAACGUGAUUAUUAGUAGGUCUAGUACAGGGUACGAUAACGUUAGAGACACUUAGUAUAGUUUCGAGGAAAACGGUUGGAAACAAAGAGGACGAUGGAGUAAAGUGGCAACGGCAGCUUAACACUUUGGACGUGUCUUUUGUCGAACCGACCUAGCAGCACCACGUCAAACUACCUUUUCUCGGGAACUGCCUGUAGUGACGCUCUUCGCGACACUUCGACCAGUCGUGACGUCAGGAAACUACAUUAGGCAGUUAUGUUGACAUUAGACCACUAGCUAUAGCUACGUCCGUCGUACCUUCUCUUCUCUAUCAACCAGAAUGUCAAGGUCAAACGUCACGCGUCGUAGCUAAGCUGUUCGCUUUCCCCUGUUAAACACGAGUUUCGAAUGUUAGAAACGGCAGCGUAAGAUCAAGGUUCCAAAGAAAACUCAAAAACCAAAGAAACUAAUCACCUUAAGUACAAAGAAGGGAAGAGAUAUAAUAAUAAUAAUAAUAAUAAUAAUAAAAGCGAACAAACAACCUUCUACAUUAGGUUUGAAAGAGAUUCUAAACUACUCUCUGUACCAAAUAGAGGUUUCUCCAGUCUAUUUCUAUACUAUCAAAUUACGGUAGUUCCACUUUCUGUACUAUCAGGUUACUUGUGUUAUUUCGGAAUAGUGACAUGCACUUUCUUAAGAAAAAUCGAUGCAAGUCAUGUUUAUAUAUUAUCUUUCAACUAGUUUCGUUAUCUGUAAAGGCGACAUUCGUCUUUGUGUAACUACUUUAAACUGUACAAAGAAAAAUCAUCCUUUGUAGUUUUAUUUCUUUUUUUCUUCAGGUUUAUUUGUUUAGAUUGGUGUCAACUUCGUAGAUCAAACUUGAUGGUAGUGAGCUGAGUCGGAGGUAUCUUCUGUUCGAACUUUCUGCGUCGCCGGCUGAUCGACGCGCCCCUCCGUUCUGCCCGUGCUAGCCUUCCGCCUUUAGAAGCGCUUAUAGGAAGUUCAGUCACGGUUCUUGUAGCGCGAGAGACUAAACUCUAUGGAGGGAGCUAGAGCUGAGCAAGAGGAGGUGCGUUCGGUUUGAGCCGCGCUGGGUUUAGUGAGGAAAACAUCUACUUAGGUGGACGCCUCCACUCACUGACCUCGGUGGAAAUAGACAUUUUGUUCUCAUUAACGUACAAGCCGGAUUGAAAACUUUGUUGAAAUGAUAAGGCUUUUUCGUUGUACUUAUCGUUAAGAUCUAAUUUCAAAAACGGUAAACGAUUUGACAAGUUCCUCUCCUAUAUCAGAUAAUCGUAAAGAUCAUAUAAAAGUUUGUCAAAAUGAGUUAUCGUGAAUACGUUUUUGACAAGUUCGAUUUUCAGGUAAGGAUAGCUCUUUUUACCAUUUAUUACCGUAUUAGUGUGAUACUAGGAUGACAGGUUCAUAAGUGUUAUUAAAGUGCAUGAAAACCAACCAGACUGUGACCCUGUUCUUCCUUUCUUCUUGUCCUCUUUUGUUACUAUUCUAUUAACAGUUAACCGUCUACUAUUUAAUGAUAAAAAGCUUUAAGGCACUGAGACUUUAUUGUUUCUAUUCUAUUAAUGUACUUUUGAGAAAUAAAAAUAUAUGAAAUCAAGCUACAUAUGUAUAUUAAUUGGUUUAAUGAGGGUUUAAGAAAGACUUGACUUAAAACUUAAAAUUUCGGACGUAUCUCGUUUCGAACACUAACACUAUUCUCUUCAUUUAGUGAGGAGUGGACGUAUCUCGUUUCGAAGAAGUUCACGACUUCGUAAACUGUCGCUGGAACGGCUGCCCGAUCUUAGUAUUUGUCCCAGACGCUGAACUGAGAGUAGCCGUACGCGGCGAAGCAAUGGACUUUAUAGCUCAUUUCUUAGCUAUUCGUUGCUAAUAAUAUUAGGUGGUAUUUACCAAUUGAUAGGUUGGUAAUGAAAAAUUUCUAAUAAUAGUGGACCAACAAACUCUAAUAAUAGAAGUCAGUGAUGGCGGAAGAGCAGUAGGCUUUAACUGCUUUAACUGCGGCUAAGAAGUCAAUAAAGGAGGAGGUAUCGAAAGCUUAAUAGAGGCGGCGAAGGACGACUGAACUAGAGUCGGAAAUAGACAAGCAGCACGUAACUGAGCGGUAGCAGCCUGCUAAGCGAGAGAUGAAAUCCUCGAAGUAACAGCACCGAGCAUCGCUCAAGUGAGACAACCGAUAAGUGAAGUAGGAGUUGUUAGAGGAACAGCGUAAGAACUAGUAAAGGGCUGCUUUGGCACAGCCUCAUGAGAACCGGAAGCGAGUCGAACCUAAGCGAGAAGAGCGACUUAAGAGAGAGAUUUAGUCGCUUUAACCAGAGGAGCCACAAGAGAAAGAGCCGUUGCUUUAUUCCAGACUUAGAGCUUCCGGAAUUCAGAACAAAGUUCAGGGGCUCUUUACUGAGCGGAUAACACUUCGAGAGUACGGAAGAUAUAUUGUUUAGGGAGCCGCCUUCACCUUGUUUUGGGACUACCCAUCUUAACAAUAACAAUGACAACAACAACAAUAAUAAUAAUAGUAGUAGAAAGGGACGUCCCAAUAAUGAGAGUAGACGAACAAGUAUUCCUUCUAGUUUUCCUAAAGACGAACCAUUCUCCUGGCUUCCUCGGCUUGGGCCUUAACACAGUAGACUUAGCUUUCCUUCUAGUUUUCCCAAAGAAGAGCCUCGCUUUUGGACUCCUUAAACCUGAACUUUAAAACUAUUAAGGAGAUACCAUCCGUUUCUAAGUAAUGGUAGGUUUAGUUAGUUUAAGAAAAGGUAAAGGCUAGAGUGCUUGAAGGAACGGGAGGAGGACCGUUAAUUUAAAAGGUUAGAGACUAAGGAGAGCUAGAGUCUUCUGGGCUGCGAGUACUCUAAGAAAACUAGUAGGCGGCAGGUAAGGUGCUGAAAUCGUACUAGUAGUAGGAAGAGAAGAACACGAGGAAGGAGAAGAAGAAGCAGGAGCAGAAGGAGUAGUAGCAGAAGAACUAAAAGUCAAAGAAGGAGCUACGAUAAUGGCAGAAGGCUAAGCGCUAGUACUCUGCUAACACAACUGCGGCGUAGUCUCGGCAGGAAGCUACGACGACUGCCGACUCCUCGGAGUCUUAGGUUGUCUCCCACCUCGAGCAGUUCGUAGCCCUACUAGAGUCUCCGCAGCCUACUCCUAUAGAGGCUGACUAGUCCGAGUGUUAGUCUUCGUCGAAGCGCUACUAGUUGUACUAGUUAGAGAUGGAGAUGGAAUCCGAAAGGUGAAAAGAAAACUAGGAGGGGUUAGAGUGAACCAUAUAAAAGCAAGAAAGCUCUUUUUGGCACUAGUAGAAAGAGAGAUUGGCUAAAAAAGAGCGAUGCCGAGCGUUGAUUUCGAGGAAGUACUACGAAAGAGUGUUCUCUUCGUAGGAAACGAAGUGGUAAAUGUUCGGAAAAUGGGAGGAGAAAUCAAAGUCCGUGUAAACCAAGUGGUAUUGAAUUCUCCUCAGGCUCUUCUUGGCGCCACGUAUCUUAACAUCCUUUACUUCGGUUGUCUUCUCGCUUUUAGCUUCCUUUUAUGGACAUAUAAUACUCCUCUUUUGUGUGUUAUGUUUCUUACUUUCCUACUAGGGCUUGUGUAGGCGCUGAUCGGGAAGCGUAUACUUAACCUUAAAAGAACUACAUAGGGUGAUAAAGGAAGCUUGGCUAGCGGUAACGGCAGAUAAUUCGACAGGUUAGAUGUAAUGUAUUGGACUCUAUAACCUUUGUUUUCUUCCUUAUUACUCUGAUUAAGAUGUAUUAUAUAUAUGUGUAAUGUGAUAAGUUAAGCAACACGCUUUUAUUGCUUUUAUUCCAAACGAAGUUCAUUAUGAUUCAAGUACAACUUAUCGACAUCUUUUUAUUAAGUACUCCUAGGUUCACUUGAUAAUAAUCCUUGGUGAUAAAGUGAUAUAUAACCUUGUUUGUAGAAAUCCUAGGUUGCCCUACUUGGUUUACAUCUUGUGUUUGAAUGUAAGCAUUGUAUUUAUAUUUUUGUGUUUGUUAUGAAGCUAUAUUCGCAUCAAAAUAAUAAGACUAAAUCGAGCAAUGUUAACGUUGUAUGUUGGAGUGUUUUACUUUCGUGAAUCUUGAUUAUUAAUGGACUAUAUAAUAGCUGUAAUCAAUUUAUUUUCAGCUUUAUUUUGUAAUGUAUACCUAAUGUUUAAACAUGUUUUAAAAAAAUUUUUUUCGAAAUGCCUAAAAUUUAGACAUGGAGUCUUAGCACGUAACUUUUACUAUAACUAUCAACACUCUCUUCUUUAAUUUACAUAGUAUAACGCUGAGAAAACUUAGCUUAAAAUUAGGAGUUUGAUUAUUCUUUAUAUAUUAUAACUAAUUUAUUCUUCUAAGUAUAUGGUUUUUAAUCCUCUUCCACAAAGUUUCGGUUCUUUUAAACUCUUUUCGCUUACUUCCUUUCCUUAUUAAUGGGUAGUAGGAGAAGUAGUAGUAAAAUGUGGUUUUUUUUUUUUUUCUUAAAAGUGUAGUAGUAUAAAUAAUCUUUAUUUAAAAAAAAAAAAAUUUUUCUUCGCUCUCUUCUCCUAUACUAAUGGGUUUCGUAGGUGACCUUAAAAUAACCUUACCUAGUAUUCGUAUAUAGUCUAAUUUUAUUAUUAUUUUCUUUUAAGACUCUAGAGGAGGAUUGGAGAGAAAGAGAGAGAGAGAAAGAGAGAGUCUUUGUUUUUACUCGUGCUUAAUACCCCGCCUUGGUGCCGAUCUAAACCCGGGUGGUCCGUCGGUGCACAGUAGUGCAGUGUCCGACCCUAACAAUACGCACCGGUAAAACGUUUGUUCCAGGAGGAGAGAAAGAUUAAACGUUGCGUACCAGAGCUAAAACCUAAAAAAAAAAAGAAAAGACCUUAAACUCGGGCUUAAAGACGACUUUCCACUAAAAAAAAAAAAAAAAAAACCCCCAAUUCUUUUGGAAAGAGUUUUGACGUUUUUGUCUUUUCUUUUUACUAGGAUAUAACGCUUUAAUUUUAUUAUCACAUAAAGAGAAGAGUAACCGUAAAUUAAUAAGAUUAAAAACAAAAGAAAAAAAGAAAACUUAAAUUAUCAAAGAGCUGUAUAAAACAAGUUUACUUCCUAUUAUUAUACUUACUUUAAAGUAUAUCCUUUGAACAAUGACCCAAACAAAGAAAUUUGUAAUGUCGACUAGUGAAGCAACGUAAUAAUCUUUUUCGUGGUUUACUAGUUAAUUUGUAUAGCUGUAAUUAGGUCGCAAAAGUAAUUUUAUUUUGUAAGUCUAUCUUCCUUUUUUUCUUCUUCUCUCAAGACUAGGAGCGAUUUGUCACAAAUCUAUAUUAAAACAUAGAGGUUAAUUGGUUAUUUAUGGUGAAUACUUGUGUUUUAAAAUAGCCCGAUUUUCUUUGAUCGUGAGAUUUCAAUGUUUCAUUACAAACCGGUGGUCUUAUAACAAGUACAUGUCGAAGUCGUCGUCGUAGGAGAAGAGACAACUAGUAAAGAAGGUUAUUCUUCGGGACUUUAGACUUUGUGAGCCUACAAAAGCCUAGAAUUUCGCUAAUACAUAUGAAAGGUUAGAGGUAGAAGAAGAACUAGCGGGCGACAGGUACCAUAUAUUUGCGUAGCUAUUAAGGUCUUUGACACUUCUGUGGACCUGUAACAAGUAUUCAUUGGUUUUUAAGCCCAAUUAUUGAAAUACUCGUUAGCAUUCAUAAGCCAUUUUGACAUGAUUAGGUAUUUAGUCCAGCUUGGAGGUUGUUACCGUGUGUUCAAUCAGUCUAUCACUUCUUUCCUAGCCAAAAGAAGGCACUUCUAGUGGACGUUGUAUCCAAGGUCAUUUGGAAACAGGUCUAUAAAAUUUUUUAUCUUUGCGUUUAUUUACUCCAACCCUAGUGUCACAUAACCCUAAUAAGUGCGUGCGUCUGAUUAAUCGACGUUAUAUUGUCGUGGUUAGGUUCGUGGGGGCGCGCGCGUUUUUGUUGUGUGUGUGUGUGUGUGUUUUAUUUUCUUUUUCUUUUUUUUUUUUGGAUUCCUAUUAAGAAAACGUAAUAUCUACAAUUUAUAUUUUAUAAAAAGAUGAGUAUAGAUCGCUAAGAAGUGAAGAUCAGAGAUGGUCUGUGUAGUGUAUUGUGGUAUUCUCUUCAUCUACCCUGAAUUUUAAUAGUAUAACUCUUGUCUAUUUGGUUUGAUCGACACGUAGUUCAGUCAUUUUAUAGUUCUUUAAGUAAGGUGGAGAUUGUUUAUAUAUCCGCAUGCAAUCUCCCCGACUAAAUUUUCUCAUUAAGACUUCUAAACUAUACCCACUAAGAGUAUAAUCAGUAUUAUGGAAGCUGUUAAAUCCUGUGAUACGGUUAACUUUUCUAAACUUCUCGCCAUAAUUGUAAUUCCUAUAAAAAUAAGUGGAAUUAACCACUCUUCAGUAUUUUCUUCUUAUGCGGUCCUUGCCCGAAUCCUAUUUGUAAAGGUAGAGACUUCACGAGACAGUGACUCUUGACACCCAACUUUUUUUUAUCUCCUUUCUUUCUUUCCUUUUACUCCGUAGUAUUACACAUGUUUUCCAUUCUAUAUAUUGUCCGUGGUUUCUCUCUCUCUCUCUCUCUCUCUCUCUCUCUCUCUCUCUCUCUCUCUCUGAUUGAAAUGGACCAACCUCACCUAAAACACGGGGGAAUACAGUCACAUUUAACACCCCUGUUGGACUCUUUCAUUUCUUCUAGGAAGUUCUACGUGAGCGUACAUUAUAGUCUCGUAUUUGUCGGAUGGUCAGGCUAGUAUAUUCUACGUUAUAGGUCUAUUGUACUAUAGCUGGUUCGUACCUCUUUUCUCGUAAUAGCAGGGGUCGGAAAAUGUUCUAAAUUGUAAAAGUUAACAAUGAUAAAGCAAGUAUUUUAAACAGGAAAAAAGAAAAAGAAAAAAAAAAAGUGUUGGUACGGGAAAUCCCAUUUUGUAUAUAAGUAGGGGUUUUUACCUAACUUUUGUAGCAGUAUUAACGGUACAUAUACGAGUGCAUCGACGGUAAAAAGAUGUACCGUUAAUACUUGUAAAGUAGGAAAAAGUUACAUUACUUUUACAUGUUAUCUACGUUUCCAACUCCUAGUUAGACAUCGGCACGAUUUUAUAACUCCUGGCGGUUACCUUAGAUGGGUCUUAUUUUCCUGAUCGUAUUGUCAUUCCGGUUGUUAAUGAGUGGAACUAUUUCAUGACUAUACGGGGUCUACUACGAACGACACAGGUCACGCGUGACUAUACAAGUAACUUGACUAAUCUUAAUACUUAUUUUCUUUGUUUUUUUUUCCUUGACAUCUAAGGUUGAAUGGGUAGUUCUCCUAAAUGUCGUGGACCCUUGAGGAAAGGCUUCCUGUCGAACAAAUAAAACACUCAUUAGACCAUAAAAAGUUUAUUUUCUCAGUAAAAUAUAGAAGUUAAAUAGGUUGUUCAGUUUACUCAAGUACUUACGUUGAGUGUAACAUUAAAAGACGAACUUUCCGGUUGUUUAGUACGUGUACCUGUAAACUAACUACCUUCGAAAAAGGUCGCCGUUUUACCUUUAAAGGUCGAUGAAAUGGUUGUAGGUUCUUGGGUACCUACAACGUAGGAAGGGGAACAAGGAGAAAUUAGAAAAGUUAAUUCGGGAGGGAGCACGUGAUUGUAUUUUGUUUCUGGUGUUCUAGUUUUAGUUUGUUUUCCCUCUAAAAGAUUACAAAAUACCUGCUUGUUUAAUAUUUUCCCCCGCCAGUCGUACUCUAACUCUAACCCAUCCCAAAAACAUUCAUGUUAUGAUUUCACGUAUUAUCUUAUUUAAGUCUCCCCAAUAGACGUUAAUCGCAUUUAUAUAUAUAUCUAGUUAUUUUCGAAGGUCUCUUUGUUAAUAUUUAAUGAUACCGGUUUGAACUAUUAAAUAUCGUUAGUUUUCGAAUUUAACAGGUUAUAACUAUCAAUAUGGACCAGCUAAUUAAGACCUAAACUGUUUGGGGUAGGAAAUAAAGAUAUACGAAGUGCUUGAAGAAGUGUACUUAAUGUCGUAACUAGUAGGUUGACGUAAAUCUUUUUGUUAAUAAAAACUCAAAUGUCUUUUAGUUUGUCGGUUGCCGGUUCGUGUUUUCUUUGAUAAUUUUUUUUUGAUUUGUGUCCUUUUUGUGUCACUUAUUGAUCCAUAGUACUAAAGGAUAAACGGUGGGACUUUAUAACUUAGAUUGUGUCGUUGAGGAGUUUGGUAUAUAAAAGUAUGAAAACGGAACAAGGUCGUCACAACGAAGUGGUUAUAUUUAGUGAAACGAUUAUACGGUCGUUCCAUUUUUGAUUUUUGUCCAAAAUUAUAAAGUUCCCCCGUUAUAAUUAUCCUCCCAUAGUAUACCAAUUCGGUUUUUCCUUGUUAAUUCGUGGAUUUCUCUGCCGUAAUUAUAAAUUUUUUUUUUUUGUUGACGUUGGUAUAAAGGUAUGGCAAAGUCGUGGUAUCGUCCUUGGUGUCAUGCAGAGCAAUACGAGUUCGGAGGGGGGUACAGAGACAUCUCCGGAGAGUUAGAUGUAUUCUUUUUUUCCCAUUCUUUAAUAUUAAAAUUUGUUCCUUAAAGUUGGAGAAUUACAGUAUCAAUGGUUCUUUAAUCUUUAUCACCGACUAUAAAACGAAUUUAAAAAAAAAGACCGUGAGACGUCCAAAAAUAACGGGUUCAGUAAUCCGUUAAUUGUAUUCGAGGAUAUUCCACGGAUUCGCAAAGUUCCUCUCGUUUUGAAAAGUCUUCGAUAUGUUUUUCCGGUUUAAGUUUGUAACUACGGAUGUAAGUAUAUUGGACGUAUCACCGGUUUUUGUCCCUUUUUUUUUUCUCCUCCUUAAGAGUUCAUAUCUAAUGUACGAAUGUACGAUUAGUAUUCAUGUUUUCAAUGAUUGGAAACCCCGUGGUUGUGGUGGAACAGAACUGGGUUAUUGUAAAGGUUCUACCAGGUUGGAAAAGAAAUCUUACAGUACGGAGAUGUUCACCUGUCUAUAUUAUGUACAUCAUAUAAGAAACUUCAACGCCGAUAUAUUUAGAUGUCGUGAUAUAUUAGUUAAUUUCUGUUGUUUUCUCUUCCCACACUUGUAUGAUACAGGGUCACAACGAGGGGCGAUUAUAGGUAACAUAGUUGUGAGUUUUCACUCGUUCGUUAUCGACCUUUUCAUUAUAGUUUGACGCCCUCUUGUUUUUCAGUAGUUAUGAGCACCGUUUUUCUUACUUGUAAACUAUACACGACUUUUUAAAAGUAGUAUUCGGAGAUAUACUUACAGAGACUAUAUUUCCAUACAGGUCAUUUAUAUAUAUCUUAUCAACGUUAAAGUUGGAUUUACAUCGUGAGUGUUCCGUUCACUUUGAUAUUGUUUGGAUAAUCAUAGUAGAUGAGUAGUAUUCUCAUCAAUAUUAAGCAAUAAUUUUAAUCGUCCACUUUUCGUACUAUAGUUCCUGAAGAUGUAUAAGAAUGCUCAAACUUUGCCUCUAUCUUUUCAAUUCUGUUAGGUUUACAUGAAGUUAUUAAUUAGUCGGGAUUUUGGUUCGGUCGUUAAAGUUAAAAUUGACUAUCUUUCUUUCACUUCAUGAUUGUAACUGUGCAUCAGAAAGCGGAGCACUACACAGUUGGUGGUUGAAUCAGAGUCAACGACUCAUUUUUUUAUCAGGACCUUUUUUUCCUACUUUAACUCUUUACUACUAAUCUAAGUGUGAUAUGUUCGUACAUCCUAUGUAGGUCCUUCCGCUGUUCUUGUGUUCAUACGUAACUAUACAUCCAUACGUUCUUCCAUACGUUCUGAGUGGUCAAAGGUUCAUACCGGAUUAUAAAUUAAUUCUCUGUGUUUCUCCUUAGGGUUUUACAGUCUAGUUCGAAUAUAGUAUAAGUAGUUGGUAAUCUAUACUAGUGUCAUGAAGUGAUAGACCCUAAUAUGGUAUAUUACGGCGAGUACGUUUUGAUAAAAGGGAUUAACGUUAUUUUGUGUUCGUGUGGUUUACGGAAGAUGUACUGGUGAUUUAGGCUAAUAUUUUAUUCAACUAUUUAGUUGUUUUUGUUAAGUUUUAGGUUAAAAAUUAUCUUGGGUGUUUCGUGGUUUUGGUUUUAGAAGCUUUUUAGGAUGAUAUGUGUUGAGUUAGUUGGUAUGCUUCCUCGUUAUGUGAUGUAUUACUCUACUUUUUUCCUCCUUUUUUCAAUUUAGGGUUUGGUUUUUCGCAGAGUGAGCAGAGCUACCACUUCUCCUUUGUCAUUUAGUUGUUUUUAGGUUAAAAAUUCUGUUGGUUGUUGGGUUACCGGAGUUUUGGAGGCCCUUUAAGAUGAUGUCUCGCAGGUUACUUGGUAGGUUUCGUCGUUUGUGCGUUGUAUCGCUCUAGUCUUCUCCGCUCCUUCGCAGAGUGAGCAGAGUCUCUACUUCUCCUUCUCGUACUGCUCUCGCCUCUGCUAUCACUGCUACGGGGGCCUCUCGCACGCCGACAUCUUCAGGAGCAACUAGAAGCCCAUGCGCAGCUCCAAGAAUUCGAACAACUCCUAGAGGUAGAGGUUUGUGAUUAGGUUAGGUUAGCCCCUUUGUUUGGGAUCGGCUUCGUUAGUUUGGGAUCGUGGCGGGAGAGAGAGAGAGAGAGGGGUUUCUCCUUUAGAUCCCAAAGGCCCCGCCUUUGUCACGAGGCUAGAGUCGCGCCGCCUCAGCGUCUCCUCCGCUGCGCAGCUGUGCGUUGCUCUCUCAGGAAACCGGGAAACUGGUGGCAGCAUACUAUAAUUAAUUAAUAAAGAUAUUAUUACUAAUUUUAUAUUCCGUUUACGAUGUAACGAUACGAAUGUAUGUUACAUAGGCUAUUACGUCGCCUACUCGUUAUAACGCAUUUUAACGCAUGCACCGUCUAUUAGUCACCUAGCCAUAACAUAUGAAACAGGUGCAGCCUAAGGUGGCUUCGUAGCCGAACUCCAGUCCAUGUAAUACUGCAUGGGUAUCAUAAUCAGAAGCAUAACUAACUCGCACAUCGCGCCCCUCUAAAUGACGACGGGAAAACAUCCGACGAUUACCGUAAAAGGGGAAAAAAUUGGAAAAAAAAAAAGGGAGAGUAAGUGGAAAAAAAAAAAAUUAAAUAAUAGUAAAACAAAUAAAUAAAUAAAACUUCUUCGUGAGUCUUAUUAUUAGAGCAAAAGCCUACAGAACCUAUAGUAAUUUUGUUAAACUUGGUAGAAUUUUAGUGCCAUAAUAACGUGAUCUUAGAAUUUAAAAUUCAUAAUCCCCUAAAAAUAAAAAACCCAAUGAAACCUACGUGAAAAACCUAUAAAAUAACCCCUAUUAAAACCCCAUUUGACCUAUUACUAGAUCUUUUCAACGUUUCGAGUUGAACACUCUUGUCUUAGUUUAUUAUGAUAGGAUAUUUUGAUAAAGUGUUUAUUAGGUUUACCUCGCAUCAUUAACCUAAUGUACUCGAGUGAUAAAGGAAAAAACCUUUGAGAAAUGUAUAUUGAACCUCCUAAAAUGUGCGCGUUAAUUAACGUCGUAUACGCAGCCUGGUAAAUCAUGCUUUUACCACGAUACCUAUAUAUCUUUAUGUAUUAAUUUUUUCUUUUUCUAUAUAAAAUGUCAUUGAUCAUAAAAUUUUACGGUAAAUGUUCGUUCGUUUAUCUUCCCGUUUUUCGUAAAAUGAGAUAGUUUUAUUAUUACUGAACAGAAUAAAUGAAUCGUAGUGUCACGUACAGAGGUAAGUGGUGAUUACCUCUUUAAUUUGGACGUCCAAAUUAUUUUAUAAUUACUUUAAAUUUGGACGCUCUUUAAGAGUAGACGAACCUCUUUCUGUUGAUAAAGAAAGGAGAAACUCUAUUAGUAAAUAUGAGACAAACCUACCUCUCUUAUUUUCCUUUUUUUUUUAUUUCUUUUUUUUCUCUCUCUUUGCAAAAAUGGACACUUUUCUCCCUUUCUUUUUCUUUUUCUUUGAUUUUUAUGUGAUGAUGGUAUAUUUCAAAAUGUAUAAAUCUUGCCUUUUCUCUUUAGGUAUGUACUAUGUGUUCGGUGUUUAAAACGAUUUGAUACUUUCAAACCUAGUGGAUGUACCUUGACUUUCUUUGUUUUUUUGUGUUUACUUUUCGAUGUUGUCCUUAAUGUACUUUGGAUUUCGUGUUGUACGGGGCUUAAAACAGCUUUUCGGGAUUACCAAAAGUGGUUAAAUUGAUGUUCAGUGGUAUAUUAAAUUCCUUAUGGACGUACCAAGCCUGUAAGAUGUCAGGAUUUCAAUCCUAGAUAAUCGCUUUAAAAUCAAACUAAGAGUUGUAAAGUUCAAAACGUUAAACGUAGGGAAUAGAAGCUCAAGAAAACGUUAGAAUCAUGAGGAUAUUUAAACGAACAAUAUUACUUACCUUUAAAAGGUCAAUUGACGGUGUAUUAGUGGUGAACCUACCUCAAUGUACCACAAAUACCUCUAUGAUGGUGGGUAAAAUUGUUUCUAUAAAUUUCCUGAUUCUGACUAUAUCUUUUGUUUUAAAGCCCUGGGUUAACAUUAUGAACUUUCGAGCUCAUGUUGUUCACGUUAGAUGGUUAUUGAACUAUAGGUCACAACGUUUACUAAUACGCGGUAGAGUGACAAGAACAGUGGUAUGUUUAGUGUUGGGGCAGCAAAGUCCUUCCGUUUCAUUAGACCAUCUCUUUUUUUUAGGUUUUAAUCAUUCUGUUAAUAUUAAUUUGACAGUUCAUACGUAGAGAACAGCAAUAAUUGUGAGUUUUUUCGCUCUGUGUAUUUCGCGAACUAUAGGAUGCGUGUUUUUAUUAGUAAAAUUAAAAGAUUCGGCAGUAUCUCAUUUAUACAACAAAACGUUUCUCCGUCUACUGUUCAUAUAUAUUAAUGGUGAUCGUGUCUUUUUUCUCUACUUUAGGCCCCUCUUUAUACGAUAAGUUCUAAUCGAUCGUAUACGUGUGUGUUAAGUUAAUGUUUAACGGCUACAAACAUAGACUUUCUUCUGAGACCGUGUUUUACGCCACUAUCUUCUCUAAAGAGGUUUAUAUACUUAUAACCUCUUAUAGGAGAACAAAUAUGUACAAAUAUUCUAUAAUGAAGGCUUCAUUGAUAAGGCUCACGAGUUUACGAGAGUGUUUGAAUGGUUUAGUCUCUUCGAAUGAAAUGAUCUGAAAAAUGGUAUUUGUCAAUUCUGGCUGGAUUUUGCCCUUACUAAUAAAAAGUAAAACCUCAUAGUUUCAUGUCAUCCGGGCCAAAUUCGAAGUUCCUACUUCUCUAACUUGCCAUUUUCACUUACCAAUACAUGUGCUAUAGCGUCUUAACUUAAGAAAGACGCUUUAAUUAACUAGGUCUGAUUGUAACUUAGUCUGAUUGGUUUUCUCCAGUGCUUGAUCUUUUUUAAAUUCUAACGAACUAAUAACCAUAGUGAAUCUUUAUUGAUGAUCUUGUACUUUUUUUUCAUUCAUAACGAACCAAUUGUUCUUUGGUUUACCCAACUUGAUGUCUUUAUCUUCCUUCGUUCUUGUCACGAUGUAUUAUCAUAAUAGAUAGUUCGGCACUUUUUCUAAGUUGUUUUCUGUUCGUUUAUGUGAUAGAUAAAAUGCAGUUCGUUAUUUUUCUUGAUUUAAAGAUCUUUUUAAGAUUUCCUAGUUAUCGUUAUCGAAAUCCUUGACAUGCCGAAUAUUAGAUGUCUAUCUUUCAAGUUCCGUAUCUUCUAGUAAUAAACAUUGUUGUAAUGGUCUUUUUUCUUCAUUUUCUUUAUGGUCUAUAUUCAAUUACGUGUUUAAUAUCAGCAGUUAGGACACUUUCCUAAUUGGCUUUUUAGGCGCUGUUAAACCACUACGUGUAUUCGUGAAGAAUCGAGACGCCCUCGGUUUUGGUGGAUAAGAGAGUAGUAAUGACGGUGAGUGUGGUAUUAGCAUUCAGUUAAGCCAGUACCCUCCUUACACGAACUCGCGUUUCUUGUAAUAUACACGUACGGGAAGUAGUGGUACUAGUACAUUAUGGCCGACGGUAUUGUGUAAUCCACUCGUUGAUACCAAGUAUUUUGCACGCUAUAACGGGUAUGAAAAACGUCAAUACCAUUACCCAUUGUUUAAGACCCGAAGGCAACUAAGUAAGCAUGAACCAAGUGGGUUAUUGAGCCAGGGUGCUAAGGUAGAACUUCAGAAAAGCGGUUCUAUACGACAAACUUUCUAUAUUAGUAGAAGGAGUAGCAAGUACAGGUGAGAUUGGAGUAGUUAUUCAAGCGGGCAUAUAAGUGUUUAUUUACAUGGCCGGGCCUAGCCCAGGGUGCUUGCAUCCGGGGUUGGCGCUAGGGCGCAGAAUUUUUGGAGUUUCACUUCGGAUUAAGGGAAAACCCAGUGAGAUAAAGCUGUUAAUUUUCUCGUAACUGUUCUUCUUGGUGUAAGUCGUUAUUCUCCGAAAGCCGAGUGUUCGUUGGGAUCUCUUGAUAUCCCUUCCAGCGGAAGUAAAACAACGCGCGUGCUCGUUAAUUACAGUGGUCCCUCUGUCUGCGAAACCGUGAACGUUGGAACAUUACCAAAGUAAUUCGACUAACCAAAAUUUAUAAAUUGGAAUCACUAUAUACACUUUACUCACCCAGGAAAGAGUAACAGUUGUAGUAAUUGUUCCGUUUGUCCAUAUAAGAGUCACGGUCUCCUAUUUAGUCUAUCAUAUUGAGAGGGGGAGGGGCUGCCCAAGAGAAAGGUAAAAACUCAGUAGAAGGUUUGGCGUUCUGGGAGCCCAACGGGACCGAGAGAGUCGUUAAACAUGAACUUUUGUAACUAUGGUCUGAAGCGAAAGAGGAAGGUGCUCAAGACUUAGAACAUCUCGGGUAGUAUCAUUAUCUAAAAGGGCCAAACCGUCAACCCCAGAAAGCGCGAGGCGUGUUGGGAUUAAACCAAGAAAGCCAUGUUCGAAGAAAGGUUUCGUUCUAAAGGGGAAAGUUCGAAAACCAGGAGCAAGAACCACGAUGGAGGAACUGGUCACAUUUAGUUCUUUAGCUGUAGCAGAAGGAGUAAGAGCAUUGGCGGCCUCCUUUGUUAUGUAUAACGGUGCCCUAGUAGAACUAAUAGCUUAAACCGCCAGUACAUCAGUUAUGGACGGUACGAUCCCCGCACAUUUGGUUACUACGUGUAGAGGUAGGAUUUUAUCUUUUAUAGGGGAUGAAGUUGCGGUCCAUGACCCGGUUAGGAGAAGGGACGUAAUCGGAACUCUAGCAAUCGGUUGUACUAACGGGGCCGGAAAUUUAGGACCGCGGGCAAGUCCAAGCUGCUGAGCAGGUUGACGUCUUCGGCGGCGGAGUCACGUAGUUUUUAGUAGUACUAGCGGAGGUGUAAGAGGGAUCCCAGUAAUAUGCUUUGGGACUCCCGGCGAUAGAGUAAAAGGCCAUGGAAGGAAUGACCGAAUUCUCCGAACUGGAAGAACUGAAAACGGCUUAGCCUCGCGAGGCGUCUCGACGAGGGAUCCGCCCUGCCGGAAAACUAAAAGGCCGGAGAUCUUCUCCAGAGGCAUUGCUUUUACCUGAGUAGGAGGAGCAGGUAAAGUCACUUCGAGCCGCCCCACACUUUGCGUCUCUAACCGCACCGAAACUACCCCGGCAAUCUAGGUAAUGAUCGUUAAAAGCCUCCGGCAGGAGAACCAGAAAAGUGGCCUCAGUGAACUCCAACACGUCGCCGUUUUCUGCCUUGCCCGCCCCUUUUCAAUCUUCCUUAACCUCUAGGUUUUAGCGGGCUUCUCCCUGGUUUCCCCCAAUACGUUUGAUCACCACCUAACGAACUAACCAAUUUCAACAGCUUGUGGUUUACCCGCCCCUUUUUACCUCGGUCUCAAGAAUUCCCGAAAUGUAGGUUUCGUAGGACCAAACUUGGAACGCCCAAGAAGCCCACGGAGGGGUAUCGUUUGGUUUCAUGGACAUCUUGUUUUUCUAGUGAUAUAUCAAGAGUCGUUGAUAUUUUUUGCAUUAAACUUGUAUAUUAAUUAUAGAUUCGCACUUUUUAUAUAUGUAUGUUUCUCCUUCGUCAUUGUUGUUAUCAUUUCUUUAAUACUAAUUGACAUCUUUACUUUUCUUGUUUCACUGGUAUAUUUUAUCAAAUUUUAGUAGUCCUUUUUUUUCUUUUUUUUGUCUCUCUUUUAAAGAGUUACUUUGAUGUUUUAUUCUCUAUUUUCUUUUUUGCUUCUUGUUUGGAUCUUUUUCAAGGAUUCCGUGUUUUCACUCCUAAAUGUGUAUGUCACUUUGGGAUCUUUUCUCGAUUCCUUAUAUAAGCUGCUUUGUAUGUUUUUGGUUGGUUUGGGAUCGUUUGAUUUUUGGUCUUUUUUGGCCGCUUGCAUCGUCUCUAGGUCUUUUUAACCUUCGAGCACUCGUUUUUUUUAGCCUAAAAGCUUCACCCAGCUUCUCUAACUUCGUUAAGCUGCUUUUUUUAUCGAAGCCUCUAGUUUAAUCACCUAUUUAAUCCGCUCAUUUAGUGUCCUUUAAACCCCUUUCCCUCCCCUAAUGGAGCUCCUCGGCCUUUGGGAUCUUUAAACGUUAAAAAACGAGCAUAAAUCUAGCCACUUUUGGGAUCUUUUCUUAGGCUCUUAACCUAGGAGCUAGAUAAAAUCUUCGGAGUGGUCGCAAGCCCAAGGGAAGUUACCUAAACAAAAAUCCCUGUCUCCGGGACCGAAACUGCCCCUCUGUGCUCAAAACAUGCCUGCCGCAGGCGUACGCCUCCCCCUUAUACGCCACCUCUAACUUCUUACUCACUAACCUGCCAGCUAACGUGCCCAGGCGUACACCGCAUCAAGCAUGUUACUCGAGACGGUAAACUACCCAACCCUCGGCAACCUAACAAACCUCUAAGCACCACGGGUUAUAGACAGCUGGCGAACAACUGCUAUCAAUCUUCGAUCUAAUGCGAACAGGAGACGACUGAAACGUUGCCACGUUUUACAUGAAGUUUUACAUUAACCAAAGAAAGAAGAAAAAAAAAAAGGAAAAAGAUUAUAUAUGUGUUAUUUUGAUAAAUGGAUAGAUUGGAGAAAUAUUUUUUUAUAAAGGAUAGAUCGGAGGAAAACUUUUUAUAAGAGGUAGAUCGGAGUAAAAGUUUCUAAUCUCUUUUUUUUUUUUUAAAAAAAUUAUAUAUAAUUCCCCAAUUCACUUCCUCUAAUAGAAAAAGAGAGAGUAGAGGAUAAUUAAAAAUAUAGUUUUAUUAAAAUUAGGGUAAGCCGGAUAUUUAAAGUACAAAAUUACAUAAUUUUGGAUUUUAUGCUCUUUAGGUUUAUCAAAAACCUAGUUCUAGUAAUAUUAGUUGAGGAAAGCUUGGUACGUAUUAUAAAAGUAGUUUUAUAUUUUUCUAAUCUUAACCAACUACGCGGUACACUUUUAAAAGAUAAAACUUUAUUUAACUAUACUCUAUUUAAUAUGUGUUUUUAAUCCCUCACUCUUCCCUAGAGCCCCUUCCUCUCUCUUUUUUUAUUAAAGGAGGUGAAUUGGGAAAUUAUAUAUAAUUUCCAUAAUUAAAGAGAAAAAAAGAAAUUAGAAACUUUUACUCCGAUCUACGCCUUAUAAAAAGUUUUCUUCCGAUCUAUCCUUUAUAAAAAAACAUUUCUCCGAUCUAUCCAUUUAUCAAGAUGUGUUAUAUCUGUUUGUAAUUGGCAUGUGCAAACUUCGCACUGUAUUUGAGGUUUAUACAAAAAAAAAAAAAAAACUCUUUAUCCAUCGAACGAUGGACGAAGUAAGUAAUUCGUUUUACUUAAUCCGAAUGUAUAACCUCCGUCGGUCCCGGAGGCUCCGCUUUGGUUGCUAAUGUUUUUGUCUUUUCUUUUUGAUCUGAUGGAAUAUCGAUGGGAAUGUUGAUUCUAUGUUUUCCCGGGAUAUCGUUGGGUAAGUUUAUUCUAUGCUCUCCCUCUUUGAGGAGUCAGGCUUCUUUGACCAAUGGACCGGAGUUAGGUUAGACACUAGUUUCUUCACUGAGCAAGUUCUUGGGCCUAUCGUAAUUCUGAGGGGAGCGUCUUCUAGGACAACAAAGCGAGACAGGUUUGGUGGGUGGUCUAACGGCGGUUAGGCCAAUCUGAAAAACGAGAGUUGAGCCGUAACACAUACAAUGGAUUAAGUCGGGUUUAGGAGGACCGUGGGGGAUGAAGGCUAGGCGAAUACAGACGUUGAGGGCAUGUUUCAUCUUCCAUAGACUGCUUAUGUGUGAGGGCUUUUUCCACUAGUGACCAAAGACGAUUGUAUCGCGUUUUUUACGUCAUACCUAGCUGUACCGGGGGAGAAGCCUAUUAAGACAGACGCCAUUCGUUAGAGAGCGCCUCUUCAUAGGUUUACUUUUAAAACUAAAACUGGCCUUAAGACUCGGAGGUCUCUACUUGCAUCUGCCUCAGAGAGUCGGGACGUAGUCACUACUUGAGCAUUUCGCUAAACUGGCAUUUCUAAACUAAGCUUCAGGUAGAGGUGAAUUAACAUAGACCACGUAGGCUACCUGAUAUGACUCGUUAGUCUAAAAACUCGUUUCAGGAGACGGCCGCCCGCAGCGACAGUCAUAAGCGUUAUUCCCGAGACCAAUAUUUUGCGGUAGAGGUGGGAAAUAGUAAGGUCGUAAAACUUUGACACCGGAGGAACAACCGUUGCGACCUUACUUAUGGACCUUUAGAUCAUGACUCUCCCCAAAGAAGUUAGGUUUAUAGUCUGGUGUCGGAUUAUAAAAAGGGCAACGGCUCGUGCAUGCUUUGUGGUGUAGACUUGUGAAGAGCUGUAGAGUGGUGUGAAGAGGUGGUGACCCUCACCCCAGCCUUCCGAGAAGGGAGUAUAUUGCCGGAAGAAGACCAUAUUAUAUUUCUAAAUUAGUUGGAGGGGGUAUCGACUAAGCCGAGAAACUUCUUCGCGGUGGUGGUAAACCAAUCAUCUCGGCAUAAGCGACGAAGGUACAGAAACUGAGGAUCGGGGGGAAGAAAAAACGAAGAUGUUUAAUCAAAGGUUGAGUGGUCUGUACUCGGAGGGCAUUAAAAGCUCGAUGGANNNNNNNNNNNNNNNNNNNNNNNNNAGGGUUGAGUGAGUUAUUGGUUUAAUGUUGAAUAUAUAUAUAUAUAUAUAUAUAUAUAUAAUUAGGCUGAAAUACUAUUAAUAGCACUAAGCUAUUGGUGCUAUUAGGUUUUCAGCCCUUGGAUGAAAAUAUGUACGAGAUGUGGGCUCCCUAGGGUUGAGUGAGUUAUUGGUUUAAUAGUAUAAUCUAAUGAGUAAAAAUAGUUAAAAAGUUAAAUCUAACGGUAGAAAAUUUGAUAGCACCAAACGCUUGGUACUAUUGAUAAUAUUCCAGCCGAACUAUAUAUAUAUAUAUAUAUAUAGUCAUUGGAUUUUAGUGGCCACUAAUAAUAAUAAUAAUAAUAUAAAAAUAAUAAAGUUUGGCCCAACAACCUUAAAUACAUAUCACUUAAUCAUGUCGAGAAAGAUACAGUUACAGCCGUCCAGUUAGUUGGCCAAUCCACGCCUACCAACUAACCACAUAUCCAACCCGACCUACCAAUUAACUUAUUCUCACCACUAUUUUGAUACUACAAAUAUCUAGAAUCUAUUGCCAUUUUAAUAUUUAGUUCAAAUUUUUAUAUAUAAAAAGAUCUUUUGCUUAUUUAUUUAUUAUUAUUAUUAUUCAAAAUUUUUAAAGUUUUUCUAAAAUUAUUAAAAUACUUUUCUAAAAUCCAGUCUAUUAGUAAAUCCUAGAAAAAAUAGAAAUUUGAAAAAAAAAAAAUUUAAAAUUAAUAAAAGUACUUUGGUUCUUCAAAAAUAAAUAAAAUAUUUUUAAAUUUUUAAAUGAUAUAUUAGAUAUUAUUUCUUUAUAAGAAAAAUAUUACUUAUAUACUCUGAAAGAGUGUAUGCAGGUACACCUCAUCAUCCUACGAUUUAAAAAAAAAAAAAACAACUUAACAAUUGGGGGUGUUAAAUAUAUAUACACUAUCUUUGGGGUGUAAAGAUAGUAGUGCUCAAANUGUAGAAACAGAAUCCUAAGGCCUAGUUUUGUAUUGUUGUCAUUUUUUUUUUUUUACUUUUUUAAACACUAAUUUUGUAUAAUUUGAUGUGUUAGAGAAUUUUUUCUUUUUUUAAAUGUUUUUGUUAUAGUUGAUUAGAUUACCAUGUGUAUCAGGCUAAGUGAUAAAUACAAUUUAUCUAAAAAGAUUUGAAAAUAGAAAAAAGUUAUUUUUAAUAUUUUGUUUUUUGUCCUCGAGUAACACUUUAGAUGAAAAGAUGGUAAGCAAUUUAUUGUCCUCGACAACUCUUUUUUAUAUGGGAAAUUUUAUUUUAAAAGUAGGGUCAAAUGCAUACAGCUCCCUACAAACAUAGCCAAUUGCGGAUAUAUCCCUGCAAAAUCGAAACUCCAUAAUUGUUCCUACAAAAGUCCCAAGUUAUGCAGAUAUGUCCCUGCAGUUAUCAUCUGUUAGUGAGCUGUUUGUUUUUUAACAGUGAAGUCGUGAAAUGACCAUUUUAUCCUCACAAAUAUAUCCCUCCAAAAGUUUUCCUCUUCCCCUUCUCUUUCUUUUCCUUUUCGGACCGUCGAAAAAGACGACGGCGGCGGCGGCGCGGGGUCAGGUUCGCCGACGACGAAGAAAAGGCAAGAACGCCGAGCACCGGAGCUCUACCCGGAGCUCGUCGCCCUCAACGUCGUCCCCUCCCUCGUCGGCACCGACGCCAACGUCCUCGGUGACCACGACGACCCCGCACACGCCCUCGUCGCCGCCCUCGUCGCCAACAACGCCCUCGAGCUUCUCGUCUAGAAACUCGCCCGCCUUUCCUUCGAGAUCGACCCCGACGAGAUUCUUCUCCCUCGCCGGUGACGAAGAAGAGGGAAGAGGAAGAAGGAAGAAGGAAGAAGAAAGAAGGGAGAAAAAGGGAGAAGAGGAAGAGGGAAGAGGAAAAGGAAGAGGGUUCGCCACCGUCGCCGUCAUAUCUCCUCGCCGGCGACGAAGUAGAAGGAAGAGGAAGAGGAGGAAGAGGAAGAGGGGUAAAUACGUCAAUUCACACUAUAAUUAAUCAUGGUUAAGUAUUUUAAGCAUGGUUAACGAAAAUUUUCUAACAGAUCUGGACGGUAGGGAUAUAUCUGCAUAACUUAGGACUUUUGCGGGAAUAACUUAUGGAGUUUCUAAUUUGCAGGGAUAUAUCCGCAAUUUACUAUGUUUAAAGGAACGUGUAUACAAAUAACCCUUAAAAGUAAUAUAGACGAUAUCUAAAUUUUUAUUUUGACAAUUAGACCAUCUAAAUUAACUUUAUGAAAACCUCUAUACCUGUAAAUUUAUUCCCACCACCAUUUCGAGUGCUACUAUAAAUAUCUAAAUACUAUUGAUAUAUUAAUAUAUAUUUACAAUAUACAAAAAAAAUGUGUAAAAAUUCAUGAAUUCUAAAAUUUUAAUUUUGACAAUUAGACAUCCUAAAUUUUAUGAAAUAGUUUAAUUGUCCUUCUGAUCAAGCAAAAUUUUGCAUAUAGUUUUUCUAUAAUUUAAAAAAAAAAUUAAUUUUUUUUGUCUUUCUUGUUUUUAUAGGUAAGUAUGGUGAUGAAAAUAUAAAGUGAAUCUACCUUUAAUUUUAUUACUUUUCUGAUAUGUUAGAAUGGAGAAAAAUAGAUUUUUUUUAUAUUUUUAAAUAUUUACAAAAUGGAUAUAAUUAUUACUGUCAUAUUUUUAACUACAUACAUCUUUAAUUAUAUAUUUUUUUUUUUGUUACAUCCAAUCUUAAUAUUUUUUUAAAAAAAAAUAUUUAUUCUCGAAAUAUGAAAAUUUUUGAUUAAAAUUUAUUUAAUUCAUUCCACAUAAAAAAACUGCGGCGGGAGCGAUUUUCUCGGGUGGAGUUUGAAACGCGGCACACCCGUUGGUGGGCCCCACGGGCCGUCCCCAUCUCUCCACCGUACGAUCUCCGAAUCGAUGUAUCUUAAUAUGUGCGAUGACGUGUCGCUGUACACCGACGCACGGAAAAGGAGGAUUUCGCCACGUGUACGCCUAAGCGUCGGGCCCGAUCCACGUCACUCGACCGUUUUUGACCGGCACGUGUCCCUCUCCGGUUGGUUUAACCGGGUCGGUGACCGGGAGGGGCAUUUAAGUAAGGAAAAUAGUAAACACACUGCCCAUGUUGUUGUUGUUGUUACUUAUACUCGCUCCUCGGCGGCGAUUUACUCUCCUCUCCUCGGCGGCGAUGGUAAUGGGGUGGUGGGACCGCAUCGUGUUCCCGAUGCGGAGGGUCUGGAUCGGCGUCGCCUCCCGCCUCGGGAUGCGCAAGUCCGGUAAGAUGGACGGCCGCGAUCGAUUCUCGCCUUCGCCGGAAUUUUCCUUNCUAUUCUUUUUUUUUUCCUUCUUCUUUCUUCUGUUUUUUCAUUUCUGGCCUGACAAUGGCGGUGGCAGUUUGGAUUGUUGAGCAGCGGCGGCGGCGGUCUCGACGGCGUCGGCGUUUGUGCACAACAGCAUCGGCGGCAGUCACUACAGCAACGACGGCAGUCACUACAGCAACGGCGACUUUUCUCCUUUUCGUUUUCUCUUUUUUUUUAAAAAAAAACUCUUCUCCUCAUUCUUUUUUUUAUUCUUCUUCUUUUUUUUCUUUACUUCUUGCCUGACAACAUCGAAUGGCAGCUUAGGCGGUGCCAGCGGCGGCUUGGGCGGCGUCGGCAGUACGCACGACAGUGGGAAGCAGCGUCAGCGGUCAUGGUGGCAGUGGCGGCCGCGGGGACAAUGGCGGUCGCUACAACAACAUCAGCAGCGGUCACGACGGCAACAGCCACCGUUUUCCUUUUCUUUUUUUUUUUCUUUUUUUUUGUUUCUCUUCCACUUAUUCUCUGUAACUCGCUCUUCUUCUUUUUCUUCUUUUUUUUUUUAUCUCUUCUUCCUCCUCUUCCUUCUUCUUCUUCUUCCUCUUCUUCUAUUUGAAAGAUAAUUGAAAAUUUAAUGUCACUAUAAUUUUUUUUCCCUAAAAACACCUCCUUAAAUAUAUUUUUUUAAAAAUUAAUUAUUUUUUCGCAUAUUUUUUUAUUUUUAUUUAAUUAUUUUUUUUAAAUAUUAUAUUUAUAUUAUCUAUCCACAGCGAAGCGCGGAUCCUACACUAGUUAUAUUUUAUAACACAUCACUAUUACUCAGGAGGAGGAUCAAACAAACUCUCAUGUUAUUUUAUUCAUUACCGGUUAUUACAGGAUCGGAUGUGCUGCUCUAAUCACUCCAAACAUGUUCGUCGACUUAAUUUAGUAAUGCACACAACACUCCCAACUUAAACAAAAUUAUACCAUACAAAACAAAAUUUCAAAUUUGAAGAGGGAGACCGACCGUCCCUACGGCAAGUGGCAAAAUAUUUGGUGGUUGAUAUCCAAGGUCCCAAGUUCGAGUACUAAUUGAUUUACAUUUUCAGCUAAAUUUAUUUUUAAAUAAAAUAAACGAAGCGGGUAGCGUGCUAUCUAUCUCUCCAAAAAAAAAAAAAAUUGAAGAAGGAGAGAUUUAAGUAACCGUAUACAACAAGAAGGGAGGAUUCUAAUCGACUCUAACACUUUACUGUGGAGAUAUAUAAUCAAUAACCAUCUCAUUUUCUUUACGGAAAAAGGCUCAUUCAAUACUUGCCGAUCACUGCAUCUGCAUUCAUGGGACAUACAAAAAGCCCAAACCACAAAGCAAAAGAGUAGGCCGCUCUGAUCCAGUCAGUUUCAGCAACAAUCAUAGAUGGUCCCUCAUCUACUGACUUUUAUCUUACACGUCCACUCUGUAACUGACCUCAUUUUAAUUCAGCAAUGUCUGGGUCAACCUUUUCCGUUGACCAACCCUUAAAAAAAAAAAUUCAAAUACCACCCCUAUUAUUUUGCUUUUUUUUUUUUAUUUUAGUACUAUACGGUUUAAAGUNUCUCUGUGUAUCGCGUUUUCACCCUUUUUUUUUUUUUACCAUACUUGUUUGUUGCGUUGUACGUAUUAUUAUUAUUAUUGUUAGUACUCUAAAUUAGAAUUAGUAGUGUAUGAUUACUUUUAAUGAGUAUCAUUAUUAGGGAUAAUUUUAUUUUAACUCGUUCUAGAAUUAGUAGUGUAUGAGCAUUGCUUCGAUUUUUUUUUUUUCUUGGGAAUUAAUGUUCAGGAGGAGGAAAAAUGAAAAAUCGAAAUUUUAUGGCCCGGAAUGCAUAUAGUGGGAUUUUUUUGUUUGUUUUUUUAUGCUGCCUCUCAAUAUUUAUUUAUUUAUUUAUCUAUUUUUCUCAAUUUGGAUUUUUUUAAAAAAAAAUAUUUCAUGAAAUUAAGCAAAAUUUAAUAUAAAGUAGAAAAUGAGACAUAUAAUUUAUUUUGCGCUCGAAUUUUAGAAAAUUUAGAGAAAGUAAUGAAACUAUUAUUAAUUUUUAUUUUAUUAAAAUUAUUAUUAUUAUUAUUAUUAAUGUUGGGCUUAAGAUGGGUCCAUAAGGUGGUUGGCUAUACUUAUUUGAGGUGGACGGUGUUAAUAAAUAAUAAAUAAUAAAUAAUAAAUAAUAAUUAUUAUUAAGGGGAAAGAAACAGAAGAUACUAUGCCUUGGAUAUUGUAAUCAGAAUAUUCCCGAAGAAUAUUCCCUCUAUGUAUGUGUGUUUUUUUAAAAAUUUUUAAUUAAUGCUAAGCACGAGAUUUGUGGUGAGUGACCACCAAAAUAAGAAUCGGCACUGUAUAUAUUCUUUUAUUUUAUCUUAAAAUAAUAUGAUAAUAUAUAUAUGUUAAUAAUAAUAUGUAUGCUCCUACCACGUUCUUUGUGGGGUCUUUUUAUCACAGCAAUUUGUUUGUUUAUAUAUAUGUAUGCUAGUGAAAUGCGCUCGCUGCGGCGGAUCGAUUUUAUAAAAAUAAAUAAAAUUAAAAUAAUAAAAUAUAAAUAAAAGAAAUUAAAGAAAAACAAUAGCUGCUAUAAUAAAAGCAUAAGAAUAAAAAUAUACAAAGAAAAAAAAUAUAAAAAUUAUAAAUUAUAUUUAUAAUAGCAAUAACAGUUGAGAAUUAAAAUAUCAUAUAUCUAAUUAAAAUAUGAGUUUGAAAGCGUCACAUACUUUAUAAUUUGAGCAAGAAAAUAUUGCCCAUUAAAUUUGAGGACUAAAUUAUCACGCGUCUUAUAAUUUUAGGAUCAAUAGUGUAAUUUAUUCUUUUUAUAUUUUAAUUUUAUUCUAAAUGAAGACCGUUGGUCUGUUUUGUUCAAUCAGUAAUUUUAUCAAAAAAAAAAAAAUUGUUAAGCCAUCUAAUAAAUUUUAAUAUUAGAUUUGAGUCAAUUACUAAUGCUUUUACUUUAAAAUUUGAAUGCUUCUUUUAGCUUUAUAGAUUUAGUUACUAUACUUUAUGUAAUCUUUGUAACUAAAUUUAUUAAAAUAAAUAAUUAAUUUAAACCUCAUCAAAUUUUUUUUUAUUUAUUUUUGAGUAUAUAAUCUAUAUGUAAUUGAUUAAUAUUAUAAAACUAAAUUUUUUAUUUAAUAAUGUAAUCUAAACUAUUUAAAAGUAUAUAUAAAUAAAGUCUGGUUGGGAUUCUAUCGAUAACACCAAACGUUGGGUGCUAUUAAGUUUUUCACCGUUAGAAUUAAGUCUGUGACUAUUUUUAUCCGUUAGAUUAUACUAUUAAAUCAAUAACUUACUCAACCCUAAAGGGCUCACAUCAUCUUAACCAUAUAUUUUUUCAUCCAAGGGCCGAAAAUCUAAUAGCACAAAUAAUUUGAUACUAUUAGUAGCAUUCCAGCAUAGUUCGUAUGAAUAUUUAUAUAUUUUAUUUUUCUAUAAUAAAAGAGAAAAAAAUUAAAUUGAAUUAAAAAAUAAAGUCUAACUUUAUAAUGAAAGAAGAAAAUUAAAUUAAAAAAUUUUAAAAAAACCAUUUCUAGUGGGCCCUACACACUCCCAAACCCACCGUCCCACUCCCCCUCCUCCUGCACGAAAAAUUCUAAAAUGCAACAGGUGUAUUAGUGAUGUGGCGUAAUAAACCAAUCAAAUGUAUCAUUUUAAGAGUAUCUGUCCAAUCAUGAUUCAUGAUUGUAAAAAAAUAUUUUUAUUGUACUCUUUGUUUGAAAAGAAGGAAUGUGAUUGGCUUGUUAUUGAUGACAUUGUGCAAGUGUGACAGUGUAGAAUUCCUCCUGCACGCGCUCCCCCGCCACGUGGCAUCCGACUCUCAAUUCAUGAUAUUUAAUUUAAUAGAUAGAGAGAGAGAGAGUUGAGCUGAAAUAUUAUUAAUAAUAUUUAAACUGUUUUGUUAUAAAUUUUUUAGCUGUUAGAUCUAUACUUUAAUCAAUUUUAUCUUUUAAAUCAUACUAUUCAACCAGCUAUCCACUUAAAUCUUAGGGGGACCACUACUAAACCCUAGGGAUCACUAUUAUUCUAAUCUUAUUAUUUUUAAUCUGAUAAUUAAAAAUUCGAUAGCAAAAGAGUCUAAAUACUUUUAAUAGUAUUUCAGCCUAAUUUUCUCUCUCUCUCCUCUCUCUCUUCUCUCUAUAUUAUAUAUAUAUAUAUAUAUAUAUGGGUCCGGCUACUAUACUAUUAUGAGUACGAUCGCCUUCGUACUCAUAAGUUGUUUUCGAUGAUAGAUCUUCCGAAUCGACGAUCCACACCGUUAAACGUCAUUUUACAGCAUUUAAAACUUCCUAGAAAUCAAUUUAUAAUUUUCGACGUCAUUUACCUUACCAAACGAUCAAGAGGUCACAAAUUUGACAAUUUUUAACGGCCGGUAUGGGAUACUUGCUAGUUUAACGGUGUAAAAGAAUCGAAAUUUGUUGAAUAUUUGAUAAAAAAUUUUAUUCAAUACAUAUAUAAAGAUCAAUAACUCCGAUCUUGAAUUGAAGGAUCCGAUCAUCCUUUUUAGGACGUCGUUCGAUUUUGACCGUUCAUUUUAUACCCACUUGAUGGACUUUAUUAUAAUUUCGAAAAUUUACGAAAUUUAUUUUCUAGAAGUUUCAAAUACUCUAGAUCAUAUUUAACGGAGUGGAUCGUCGAUUUGGAAGCUCCAUCAUUGAAAACAACUUAUGAGUAUGAGGGCUCCAAUACUCAUAAUAGUAUAGUAGCCAUGGCCUAUAUAUAUAUAUACACAUAUAUAUAUAUAUGCUAAAUUAUGAGCCGUUACUAAUUGGAUAGCAUAGUUUUUCCUUUUUUUUAAUUAGUGGCGGAUUUCUUUUUCUAAAAAGAAGGAUAAACUUUAAUUUGCCUCGGUGUAAUGUUUUUCUUUUUAGAGAAACAGAUGGUUCAAAAGAUCUUCUGUUCGCUUUAUUUAUUAAGCAAAUAAAUUAGGCAAUAGAAACUGAGUCAACUAGGCUUCCGCAUAGUUGAUUUUACUUUAAAAAGUUAAAAUUAACUAUCCUAUUAUUUAGUGUGUUUUUUUACUUUACUAUCUUGUUAUUAAAAGAGUUACAAUAAAUUAUCCAGUAAUUUUAUUUUUAUUUUAGUGUAAGGACCCGAGGUUAAACUAUUCUGUAGUUUUUUUUUUCAGUGAAUAAAGUAUAGAAUAGUUAAACACAACUUUUUGAAUCAAAGACCGACUAUCUCUAAAGCAAGUGGCAAAAGGCUUGGUGAUUGGUACCCGAGAUCCAAGUUCGAAUCCUAGUUGAUUUACAUUUUUAGCUAAAUUUAUUUCUAAAUGAAAUAAAUGAAGCGAGUAGCGUGCUACCUAUUUCUCAAAAAAAAAACCUUUUUGAAUCAAAGCGGCUAAAAAUUCUUACCCAAACAGAGCUUUGGAUUUUAGUUCUUCUUUGGGCUGCAUGUUCACUUGCUCUGGGCUCUUAUGGGGGGACCAAUUUCUCUUUAAAUUGUUGAAUUUACAUGGGCUUGGUAUAAUGUAGCCUCUAUAUUAGUAGAGGUUUGGUUAGGUUACUGGGGUUGUCAAUUUUUGUAUUUUCAAAUUUUCAAAACGUUUUUGGUGUCACAUUGAAGGAGAGAUUCAUUAGUUAAUUUGCUAAGAGCCUGUUUAGAUGUUUCUUUUUUUUUUACCCUUUGCAGGAUGUCAACAGAUCGGAUUCGGGACGGAUUUUUACAAAUCCGAACCUAACUCCAAACCCGAAACUCGAACCCGAUGAAUUUUAAAAAUUCAUAUCCAAAUCUGAACCCGACCAACAAUCCUACACCCGAACCCGAAAAUUCGAAUCCGAAACAAUUAUUUCUCUUUUCAAUAUUUCAAAAUAUAUUACAUUAAAUCUAAAAUUUGAAAAUACAAAUUCAAAUAUAACAUUAAAUUUUUAUAUAUAUAUAUAUAUGUAUAUAUAAUGUAAAAUAAAUACGGGUUCGGAUCCAGUACAAUCAAAAUCCAUAUCCGAAUUCAUAUCCGUUGGAUUUUUGUUUUUGAUAUCCAUAUUCGAAACCAUAUUCGUCUAGUAUCGGAUAAAUCCGUUCUGUUCGGAUUCAAGUUCGGAUAAAAUUUCGAGUGACACUCCUAUUUGCGCCGGUAGGAGAAUGAAGUAACCAUCACUCUUGUUUCAGAGUAUGUUCCUUCUUUGAGUUUCAUCUGCAAGACUGCAGCUUACUCUUAUCCAAACAAGUCUUAUUAGGGAAAAAAAAGUUAUUCCCAUGUCACUACUUAAAAUGGAAAUUUAAGAUGCAAUUAGCUAUAUGUUUGAGAUAGCUAUUUGAUGCUUCAUUAGGUGAUAAAUAAAAAGAAUAAAGGCACAUAAAAACAAAGGAAAUGUCAUAGUUAAAAAUUAGUAGAACUAAAGAGUAGAUAUGCACAGAGAGAGAGAGAGAGAGAGAGAGAGAGAGAGAGUACCCAAUAAGGAAAUGAUAUAAUAAGCCCAGAAAAAACUGAUGAAAAAGAUUUAUUGGGAAUAAUUCCAAACGUAAGACCGUUCUAUCCGUCAUUCGUACAAUUUUAAAUUUUCUGUUGUCCAUACGACGGACGGUGGAUGAAAUAGUCUCACAUUCGAGAUUUGUCUGCACUAAAUAUUUAUUUCAAAAUGUAGAUUAAGAUUAAAUAGCUCAUGUAAUACAUGCUUUAUUUGAACGAAAUAAUUUUCCUGUUUUUUUUUUUGUAUCAAAUACAAUUUUUGUUUUGGUUCAAAUUAACCUGACCUUUUAAUCAUCUUUUGCGUACAUAACCGAUGAAAUAUGAAUAAUAAUUUAGUAAUAAAACAACAAGUUUGAUAUUUUCCUGAUAAGAAACAGAGUUUGUAGUGCAAUUUGACCUCUUCUCUAUAAAAAACCUUUUCUACAAAUUUACCUCAAAAAAAAAAACUAUUUUUUCAUUCUAGUCCCUAAUCUUCUUUUUCACCAUUUAAGUUUCUAAUCUUUAGUGUAAUUUUAAUUUAACUCAUUGUCUUUAUAAUACCACUAGUUUUGAUGAAAAAUUGCCAUGUAGCGAGAUUCAAUUCUUAUAUAUUGUGCUCUGGAGCUCAACUGGACUGAUCGAUUGGACUAAAAUAAUUAUAGUUUAAUUUGAAAAAUAUCAUACUAAAAAAAUAGUCAAGUAAUUAAUCAGUAGAGCCAACAAGUGAUUCUGAUUAUAGAAGAAAAGUUAUUAUUAUUAUUAUUAUAUUAUUAUUAUUUUUAUAUAUGACUAAAAUAAAUUGUCUAUAAUUUUUUAAAAAUAUAUAUAUAUUUAAUAUACAUUAAUAAUUCGACUUCAAUCAAAAUUUAGGUGAAUUUCUAGAUCAUAAGCCUUUUUUAUUAUUGUUCUUUUGUCAAAAAAUUAUUAAUAUAAAUAUUAAUGUAAUAAAUAUUUGUCAUAUUUAUGGUAUUUCUUUUUAGAGUUAACUAGUAUAUGACUCGUGCGAUGCACAGCUAAUGUAAUAAUAUAAAAUAACAAAAGUUAUUAUAGGAUGAUAAAAGAAAAAUAUUUUAAUUAAUAUUAUAUUUUUUUUAACAAAUAAAGAAAUAUACUAUCAAUCUUAAUUAUAAUACAUAUUAAAUUACGAAAGCUAGAGAAACAAAAUUAUGGACCAAAAUAAAUACUCAGGUAAAGAGCAAAAUUAAACCAUGCUCUAUUAUCUAUGAAUUGGUGUGCAAAAUAAUUUGUUUAAUAGUAUUAUUAAUUAAGAUUGAUAGUAUAUUUGACAUUAAUAAUUAAGUAUAAUUUGAUUUAAUAAUGUUUCCUAAUAAAAUUCUAUUUUUAACCAUCUAAUUGCUAUAUUUGAGUUUGACAUGUGGCAAGUAUAUAGAAAGAUGCAUGAUAAACAUUUAAUUUGAUUUAAUUGUAUAUAUAAUUAUAAUUUAAUUUAACGGUGUUUAAUAGUGUUUACUAAUAAUAUUCUAGUUAAUUGUAUAUAUAAUUAUAUUUAAUUGGUAUAAUUUGAUUUAAUAGUGUUUCCUAAUAAAUAACCUAUUCUAUAUUUGUAGUGUUUCCUAGUAAAAUUCUAAUUUGUAUAAUUUAAUUUAAUUUGAUUUAAUAGUAUUUUCUAAUAAAAUUUUAUUUUUAAUCAUCUAAUUGCUAUAUUUGUGUUUGAUAUGUGGCAAGUAUAUAGAAAGAUGCAUGAUAAACAUUUAAUUUAAUUUAAUUUGAUUUAAUUGUAUAUAUAAUUAUAAUUUGAUUUAAUAGUGUUUAAUUGUGCUUUAUAAUAAAAUUCUAGUUAAUUGUAUAUAUAAUUAUAUUUAAUUGGUAUAAUUUGAUUUAAUUUGAUUUAAUAGUCUUUCCUAAUAAAAUUGAUAUUCUAUUUAUAGUGUUUCAUAAUAAAAUUCUAGUUAAUUGUAUAUAUAAUUAUAUUUAAUUGGUAUAAUUUGAUUUAAUAGUGUUUACUAAUAAAAUUGCUUUUCUAUAUUUAAGUUUGACGCGUGGCAAUCAUAUAAAAAGAUACGUAUCAGUUUUACAUCAAGAGUUCUACUUUAGUAUAUAGUAAAAUUGAGUUUGACACGUGGCAAGUAUAUAGAAAGAUACGUGUCAGUUUUACACCAAGAGUUCUACUUUAGUAUAUAGUAAAUAUAGUAAAUAAAUAGUUUUUUCAACGACCUAUACUGAUAUACAUUAUCUAAUAAAUAAAUACUAAAAAUUAAGGACCGGAUUGCAAAAAAAAAAAAAAAAAAAAUGAAUCGAGGACCCAAAAAAACACGAAUGAAGGUUAGGGACCAACAAGGCAAUUAACCCUUUAAAAUCCGUCGCUUCUCUUCUUCCUUCCUCGCUUCUUUCGCAGCGCAAACGAUGUCGGAGAACCCCUUGGAGCCCCUCCUCAAAACCCUAGACUCAAUCUCGCGCUGCGUCCAAACUCACCUCUCCCGCGUCUUCGUCGCCCCCCAAAACGCUUCUCCAAAACCCACGCUGCUUCGUCCCCUCUUAUCCUUCUCGCCGACUCCCGUGGCUCCGGAUUCUACCACUUCACCCAUAAAGGUGCGCCCUUUGCUUCUCUUUUGCGUCCAAAGAAGAGGUGUUGAGCGCUUAUGGAUUUGGGUUUUACGAGGUCUGUGUGUUUGGGGCUUUGUUUAGGAGAAAAAGGCGGCGCCUUUAACGAAGGAGGAGCUCGGGAGGGCGACGUGGACUCUGCUCCACAGCAUUGCGGCCCAGGUGUUUGGUUUUUUGCCUCUGUGAUGAUCUUGUGCUUUCUCAUGUUUUUUCCCUGAAAGUUACCUUGUCAUUUCGUAGUGAGUUCCUUUUUGUUGGUGAAAGAGGAGUAACUUUGUCUGAUAUUAGCCUUUGGAGGUAGAAAUGACGUAACCUUGUGUCAAUUUAAUCUUUGUAUUGUUUAAAAUGCUGUUGGAAAUGUUGAUUAUAAGAAACUGAGUGUCAAACAAGUGAUUAAUCUAAAAGUACAAGCUCUUAGCGAGUGGUGUUUUAAUAAUUUAUAUUCAACACUUCUCAUUGUAUCUAGGCUCAAGACAUUUUGAUAGGCCAAGAUGCAGGCUACAAUUAAAUGGAGGGAAAGUAAUUGCGACCUGCUCUGAUACCAUAUAAGACAACCAAUUACUCUAAAAAGUUAAGCUAUCAGAUAACAUUGUUUUAAUAUUUUAUGUUCAACACUGAGCUGGCCCAUUGAUACUUUUUUUGGCUUGCUUUCGAAUAGGUAUUAGCAAUAGAUACUUAAUUAGGAUGUUUUCCUUUAUUAUCUUCUCGUGCAUGAUGGGGAUGUUAUGAUUGUUAAGAAUGUUAGUCCCAGAGUGUGAGACUUGAAGAUUUGAAAUAGUUCUAUAUAUAAGAUAUAAUAGAACUAAAUUUUUUAAUCCGGAUAUAGCAUUUUGGACUGUGGCUAGGUUCAAAAGAUUAAAGGAGUCAAGCGUGCUAGGGUUAGAGUAGUCUUAAGAUGCGUGACCCCCUGAGAAGUGGGGCGUCAUAGUUGGUAUAAGAACUAACUACCAGCCGGAAGUAUGAGAUGAGUCUCGGUUGAGCCAAGUUAUACAGUGGACAGAAUGAGACUCUCUGGCCGAUGACUGUUGUGCGUGGAGCGCGGCUUCUUAUAAGGUCGACUAAGGCUAGCGAGAUGAGUCUCACAUUGUCUGGUACUUGUGAGUGUGCUUAAGCCUGAUGAGGACGUCAGAGUUUAAAAGAGAGAAGAAUGUGAGACCCCAGGAUUUGGAAUAAGACUAAAUUUCUUAACCCGGCUGUAGCAUUUUGGACGGUGGCUAAGCCCAAAAGGUUAAGAGAGUUAAGAGUGCUAGGAUUAGAGUAGUUCUAUAAUGGGUGAUCCCCUGGGAAGUGGGACGUCACACAGAGGGCAUCCAGUGUGAACGACAGCCCCAGAAUCUAGUCCCAAAGAGGGCUUUGACAUGGUGCCAGAGUCAGCUUAAGUAUGAAAGGCACCUAGUAAUUGUUGGUUGAAUAAUUAAGUUUCUUAAAUUAAGGCUGAAAUUCAUUAUUCUGAUCUGUUUAACCAAAUCUAAAUUUCGACUAGGUUGCGGGCAUGCAACAAGCACCUAUGUUUGGCUUCGGGAGUUGACUAAACUUGGUUUAUUAUAUUUAUUUUGACCCAUGUGUCACACAUUUAUUGGCUAGAAGAAAUGAUUUUGCUUUCUUCUAGCUGGAAACAGCAUUUAUUAGCCAUAUGUAGUGUGAGCAGCUUUAUGGAGUUGAGAUUUCUGCUGAAACCAACGAUAAUAGACAGAAUAUUCUUGUAAGUUAAGUUUUCAUACUAGAUUUUUUUCUGUUGAACUACUUUCACAAGUCUGCUACUUGUUCUGCUAGCUAUCAAAUUAAGGGCUUACCUUGGUGUAUAUCAUUCUCCUUUGGACACAGCACAUUGAUUUUCUGUAUCUUGUUUAAUACUUUUUCAGUAUCCUGAUCACCCAACAAGGCAGCAGAAAAGAGACGUGAAAGAAUUGGUAUGCAGCAAUGUCAUUUUCAUUUGCUAAAUUAUAUUGUUUAAUACCCGAUUGCAGCCAAUGGUGUCCAUUUCGUUUUGAUUAGAUUUUUCCAUGUUGGGACCAUGCACUAUGCAACAAUUGUACCCUAGGGCGUUGAAGACUUGAAGUUGAUUUUGUAGUUGCUCCAUGUAAAUUGCUAGAUUUAAUGAAAUAUGAUGAUAAGGUAGUGGUAGAUUUCUGCAGAAACAUUGGAAAUCUCUUUUGCUGCGAUAGCUAUUAAUGGAUAAUAUAUUACAUGUUUUGUAAAUCGAAAUAUGAUAAAUAUGUUUCUUUUUUAAGUAUUGUUGCUCAGUUCUUUGAUUUUUUGUAUUAUUGUCUCUCACUAUAUUAAUUCGUAAUAUGUGACAAUUUUUUUUUUUUUGGGUAUAUAUUGUCGCUAAUCAGAUCGUUUUUUAGAUCUAAAAAAGACAAGCUUGAUUUCUACUUCAUGUUUUUUUUCUCUUCUUGCAAUAGUUCAUUAACCUUUGGUUCAUUCAACAAUGGAGUCUCAUAUUUUGAUCAAAUUAGACAUGAGAAUAACACAGGUCUUGGGUUUGUGCACGCAGAUGGCUAUAAUAUCUCGACUUUACCCUUGUAAAGAAUGUGCCGAUCAUUUUAAGGAAGUGUUGAAGUAAGUAUAUUAAUUACCUUCAUAGGACUUGCUUGCUAAAUUGUUAUCGCAACCCCUGUUCUGUACAAAAAAGUCAAAAUGCCAACAUUAUCAAUGUUUUUGAAGUGCUCUUGGGGUCUCUGAAGUUUCUUGGGUUUGAACCUCCCAAUUACAGUUGUUUGAUUUUGGUCGGGUUCCAUUAGACUUAGUAGUUUCAGUUACUUAAUAUUCGAAAAUAACAGAAUAUUCUGGUAAAUUCCGGAAUAUCCUGUCAAAAAUGUUUUAAGAAAGUUGGUCUCACCAAAGCUGACUAAAACCAUUUAGUAUAGUGGGGCGUUCAAAGCCAAAUAUAUUGAAGUCCAGGGAUCUGCUUUUAGAACACCUAGAGCUAUAGUUGGCUUGUAUUGGCUUAGAGAUUAUUUUUGGUGUGCACGUAUUACAUGAAAGAAUAAAGGGUAAACAUACAGCCAUUUGCUGUGUUGUGUUUUGGCAGAGCGAAUCCCGUACAAGCAGGAUCACAAGCUGAAUUCUCUCAAUGGCUAUGUCAUGUACACAAUGUGGUUAAUCGAAGGUAAAUUUAAUCCUCUCCGACACUGUACCUCUACUGUCCAUCUGUUUUUCAUUUUACUCACAGGAAGCAGAUUGAGUCAUUUUUCAGUAUUAAAAAGAGUUCAUCAUUUUUCUGACAUAUGUUUUUGGGUGAUAUUUAUAGCCUAGGGAAAGUGAUAUUUCCCUGUCAGAGAGUGAACGCUCGAUGGGGUAAGUUGGAUUGUAAGGAUCGGUCCUGUGAUUUGGAAGGCACUGUCGACAUCAAAACUUUAACUUCCCACACCUGAUGUAUCACAAAGGAUCAUUUUGAGUAGUGCGAUAUCUUUCUACAUCAAGGAAGAAAAGGAAAUACUAAAGUUCACUCUCUCUUGUUUUACCAUUUUUGUAGUCAAUUUGAAGUAAAGUUUAGAUGGACAUAAUGAUGCUCAUUGUACAGCAGUGCAAACCAUCGUGAAGGCAAAAAAGUAGUAAAAUGAUUAGAUUUUUAACUAUGGAUGAUUGUCAUUGAACCGUAUGCUAUAUGCAUUUUGAGACUGUGACAUGGCAUGUAUUGACGUAAGCUAUAUUAUGUAUAUUUGUCAAUUAUUGUCCGUUAAAUGAUUAGAAAAAAUUGGUUGGGUCAAUGCAGUUGUUAUGUUCGAACUGAAUCUUCAAUCUUGUGCAUGGCUUGGAUGAAAUCUGGUGAAUAAGGUUAUGCUGUAAUUGUGAAGUAGGUUAUGAGAAUAUGUAGUUGCUUAAGCGUUUUCACAAUGCCCAGAAUUGUAUGACUUGGUUUUCAACUGAAGCUAGUAAGUAACCUGGAAACAUUACUGUUUUUUUUUUCCCUGUCGUUUUGCUUCUAACUUUUUAAGGAACUCAUGAGGUGGAAUUCACAAUCCAGUAUAAAGCCCCCCUUUUUUCUGGCUAAAUUUUGAAAUGCACUUUGCCUACUAGAUAGCAAACCAUGCGUGUAUUGCCUUUUUUUUUUCUCUCUCUCUCUCUUUUUUUUUUUUUUUUUUUUUUUUUUUUUUUAAGGUGCUGUGCUUUUAUGAACAUCCCUUAUGCUCAUGAUAGAACAUUCGUACCGAUGAUUAAUAUCGUAAAAUAUAAUCUAAAAGAUUUAAGAUACAAACUAACUAAAAUUUGUCUUUUUGACAUUGUCUACAUUAUGAAAUGCACCUUAAAGUCGGUAAUUUUAAUGGCCAAAAUGAAUUAUUUUGGCAUUCAACAGUGUAAAGCAAUUAAAAUCAGUGAAAUUUUAGUCGAUAGUAUUUUUUCAUUGUUUAGAUUUAGAUCAAUAAGCUAACGCUUAUAACUCACUCUUAAGUUGAAAACUAUAUUUUCUACUUCCACAAAGCUGUUCAAUAUUAAACAUUUUAUUCUUUGACCCGUCAUUUUUAAAAUUGAUCAUCCAUAUCAUUAAGAAUAAGUACUUGGAACAUGUAGAAAUUGACUUUUUGCAUUUUUUUUUCCUCUCAAAUUUAUUCUCUGGAGUAGCAAAAGAUCACAGAAUCAAUGGUGAAAAUUAAACAACCUGAAAAACCCUAGCAUUUGUUUGGUUGGGGGUUAGGGGUGGAAUAACCCCUUAAUCCCCCAUAUUAUUUCCAAACAUUCCAAAAAUAGGUGGGGUUAACUAACCCAACCUCAAAUGAGCUAUUCUGGAUUAGCUAAUCCUAUCUAACCUCACCAAAUCCCAACCAAACACUAUUUUCUAUUCAUAAGAACCCACUAUCUUUCUUAUCCCACCUACUCCAACCAAACAUUAUUUUUUACUAUCCUGAACUAACUCCAAUCCUCAACCAAACACAAAAAUACUCUAAUUCCACCUUAACCCUGAAUUUAACUCUAUCUUUGAAAUAACUAAUUUUUCUUAAUUCCGAAUGAAACGGUAGCUUAAGAUCAAGAAAAUAUUGAUUCGAUAUUUAAAAUCAACAAUAUAUUCAUUUUCUUCACCCAUUGUUGCAACAUGAAAGUGCUGUCCUAUGACUCCUAUCAGUCAUACUUUUUUAGGAUAUUAUAUUAACUUACAACAAAAUUUAUCUUAUUUUAAUAAAAUGACUCAGCAAUUUGUAUACAGACAAGACAUGCGUGUACAAUUAAUGUCUCAUCUACCAAUUAUUGUAUCACCCUUGAAAAAAUAAAAAAGAUGUGUCGAUUUAAAUGUUCGUGCAUCCGGACAAGUAAUUUUGUGGCCAAGCAGAGAAGAUCUAAAUCCUUUUUUUGAGUUUUCUCAAAAUGUCUGAUUUUGUCUGAAGAACACAGAACAGAGUUUAAGCUUGUUCCAAAAUAACACCUACAACAAGAAAAGCUAAAAAACCAUGAGCAUUAUAUGAUCUCAUCUUGCUUUACAGCUUAAUAAGCCAAAAGACUUGCUCUAACUCUCACCCCUGUUAAAGAUCGAAAAAUGUACAUCAAUCCAGUUUCCGGUCAAAAGAAAACAUAAGAAAAGAUGGCCGUUAUUUUAAGAUUUUGCAGAGCCACCCUUGUUUUGCAAACUACAUAAUUCAACGCCAUCAAGCGAUCGGAAAGGCGGUCUCUGUCCAAACUUCAACAGAUGCGCGGCUUCAUAAACGGGUUGCAACUGCUGAAUCAACUGAACAUCUAGAUAUGCUUCACAUGCGAAGCACCAGACUGACAAAUCACUGUAAAAGAUCAAUUUAGUUAGAGAAAUAUAUAUGUACUAGUUCAACAAUUAAAAACUAAAAACAAAUUAAUUCUUUUAUAGAAAAGAUUGCACGGUUUGUUGUACCUGAAGCUAAGAGCAAGACAGUGGCCAGUUUCUUGAUGAUGAUUAAGCAUAUGUUUGUUGAUAAAGCGGCUGCAUAGGACCUCUUUGCAGCUCAAGCAUAGCCAGUUCUCAGCAGGAUGGUGGCAUCUGACGAGUACAGAUAUGCUUUCAUGAGAGGAAUAAUAAUAGGGUUUUACAGUCUCAAGGGUCAACCGCAAAUAAAAUUUUCAAUUUUUGAUUAUUUAUAGAAAAUCUGUAUCUUUUAUCCAAAGCUGUAAAUGAAUUAACAGAAUUUUACAAGUGUCACCAGCCCUCUAAAAAUUCGUGUCAUUGCACACGGGAUAAAGUUCUUUAAAGACAGAAUAAUCCAGCCAUAAAUAACAACUCAUCAUUGCAGAAAAGAAAAAUCGAGCAAAUCAAUAUCAAUGCUUAAAGAUGUCUGACAAUUAAAUCAAACCAAAAUUGAACAAUCAAUAUCUCAAAGGGCUUGUUGUGAGAACUUUCGUUAUCAGAUGAACAGCUGAGUAAAAUUCUGACGGCAAAAUACAGAUAUGCUGAAUCAGAGAUGAACUUAAUUAGGUUUAACAUAUAUAAGAAGACAAAGCUGCAAGAUAUUUUGGAAAAUUCAGAUGUAUACAAACAUGUAAGGAUGUCUUAGAAAGUAGAUCAGAAAAGUGAAAACAAAUGAUAAGAUUGGUCUAUUCAACUUUCAAAUUCAUUUCCAAGGCAAUAAAUGACUAAAAGUAGGUUCUUUAUCUUCUGCAAUAGCCAUUGUCAUACGUAGGGAUAUCACUUUGCAGGGUCAGGCGAAACCAGAUUAUGUCCAAUUGAGGCUCAAGGUCUAAUCCGCAGGAUUGAACCCAGACCAGCCCCAACCAAACUCAAAUAGCCUUGACCAUACAUUACUCAGGUCCCCAUUCCUUUUCCCUUCUUAUUUUUUCCAUGAAAUUCCCACCCAGAUUAAGCAUAAAUUUAAACAGAAUGGCAUAAUUUGUGACGCGCCAGUCAAGCUGGUCAGCCCACAAUGGCGGUUGCGUCCUUGGACAACAUCCUUGGUUGCAUGAGCUAACAAGGAGCAGCAUAUAGAAAGGAUAAAUGUUCCUGAAUCAAUAACAAUCUUUCUUCAAAAUAACAGAAUAAGCCACCUUCUUUCCAAAUAUACUAUAUACCAAUUAGAAAUACUUCUAAUACGUGCCAAAGAAAUGUAGAAAGAUGACUUAAUUCUAUGGCUAUUUGUAUAGUACCACGCAAGAAAACAAUAAAGAUAAAAGAAAGAAAUCAUAUUACCUAGUUUUCAUAAAAUGUGGCAGGAUUUUGAUCAAGAAAUGUUGAUGAACUUUGCUUAAAUAGUAUCAUACUUCUUUUAGGAGGAUACAAGUAAAGUCGAUGCUGAGACAUGAUUAGACAAUCCCCAAUCCCCUUUUCACUGGUACUGGACAGGACUUGACACUUCUAUUUCUUCCAAAGAAUUCCACUUUAAAAGACACAAUCUUACACUAUCAUGUCCAUAUCCUCACCAAAACUAUGCACCUUAUACUGUAUCACUUGUCUUUUGGCAUUACUUUGAUAAUGUUAGCUACAAUGCUUAGAAUAACUGCAACAAGAGCACAUGAUCCAGAAUUCUAGCUUUAGCCACCAGCGAGUGGCAACCACUAAUGAGUAAACAAUACAGAAAUUGGACAACACGGCUAUUGAAUCACCAACAUCUAGUUCUCCAACUUUGAACUCAUCUAUAAUUUUUUCCAUGAAGAACAAGGGCAUGGCAGCAUGAAGUUCAGGUAGGGGUUCUUCUCAAAUAGAUUCAAUGGUCAUCACUGAUAUGUUUCUUCACAAAAUGGUUAUUCUGAUAAUUAUAGACCGCCAUCUAAUAUUGCACAAAAACAAUAAAUAAUCACCUUUCUUCCAAUUACACGCAAUGCUUCUGAAUUUCUUUUCCGAUUUCGAUGUACUCCAUUACCAGAUUCAUGAUCUAUACCUCAUCAAAAUAGUGAAAUCGGGAAAAAUUCAAAUUGCCUAACGGUGGCAUGGCGUAUAAUGAAACUUAACCAUGCUGAGGUUGCUAUGUCGAUUGCCUGAUAAGAACUUCUGCUAAAUGCAGUAAAAAUUGAGCAAACGACAAUCACAUAGCCGGUUUAAAACUACAUAAACUAAGUUUUUGUUAUUUAACCUUAUUGAUUCUCAUGAAUCACAUGAUUAAUUAAGCACGUGAUUGUCAUGUGCUCAAUUUUAACCUCAUUUCAGCAACAAGUCCUCACAGGCUACCGAAACAGCAAAUUUGGGCUGGUAAAGUAUUACAGUCUUAACCAUGGCUAUUAAAGUGGCAAUACACACAGAGGUAUCAAACAUUUUCCAUUUCAAGGAAUAAAAUUUACAAAGCUAGAAAUAUAAAGUAGAUACAACAAAGAAUAGGAAUUGCAGAAACUUCUCUCAUGGGCUCAUUAGACGCAAGCAUCCAUCAUAGUAAGUUAGGAUAUUCCAGCUAAAAGAUCGAAAGGGCAAACGAAACACUAGAAAUAACACUCCAAUCUUCACAACGAAUCUUUUGGUCCGCCUUAUUCCGCAUUGUUACUGUUCUUUUUUUUCCCAUUCCAAACAAGAAUUCCAUGUAGUCGAAUGUAUUAAUAGGUGAACUUCUCAACCGAUCUUGCAAUGCAAUCACGCCAAAUACUAAAAGGCAUCUUCUUUAGAAACAUAUAGGCAAAAAAAAAAAGGUUCUCAUUUUUUUUUUUUUUCCUUUUUUCUCCUUCUGUUGCCAAAAAGCAAAUCCACUAUCCACCCUAACACUCUACUGCAUAGAAUUUGCUUUAAAAAAACAUAAAAAAUAAAAGAUGACAACAAUAUUAAACAAGGAUUUACUAUCAUUUUCCCUCUAUUGCGUGACAUCUACUUGGAGAUCCAGUGCUCACAAAACGUCACAAUUACCCAAACAAAUUCGUUCUAAAAGAACAAACAAAAAAGGGGGAAUUGAUUCAUAACCUGAAGCAAGGGGAAUCGGGAGGAGGGAUGUGGACCAGAUCGGAGGCCAAGGAGGCGAGAUGAUCGCACGACGAUCGAGCUUCGACCCAUCCCGAUUCGGCACCAUACAGCUCCCCCAACUCUUCCUCCUCCUCCUCCUGAGAUCGAGAUUUUAGGGUUAGGGUUUCAAAACUGGAGGAGAUGAGAAGUGUUAGGGUUUGAUUACGUACGAAUCGAGACGACGACGUGCCCUCGUUCGCCAUUAACGACAACGAACUGACGAAGUGCGCGGAGCUUCUGGGUUCAGAAAUUAAUAAGGAUUUUUAUUAGGGGUUUAAAAGUAAAGUUGAACAGUAAUUGCACAUAUAUACCUUACAGUUUUAAAAUUAUGAAUUUUUUCGUUGGAGUUACAAUUAUCAAAUACAUUCAUCUAAAAUUUUUUUUAAAAUAAUUUAUUAUUUUGAGCAAACUUGUAAAUUCCACCGUGAGAAUCCUUUUAAACGCAAUAUGCAGAGAAUAGGACUCAACGUUUUUUCGACAAAUCUUUUAAGGAAGCUUCUUAUUCUAGAUAAUCUUGUAAAAAGAUGUUAGACUCGCAACACAACUUGUGUGUUGUGUGGAGUUGAAGAGAAAAAUAUGAACCAUCUAUUUUUACGGUGUGUUUUUAUUUGAUUUCUUAUAGUGAUGUCCGUAGAGAAUGCCAAUAGUAGGGAUUUGGAUGGCGACGUGGUUUCUGUUUGGAAUAGGUGGAUGGUCGGGAAUGGACAACGACCACCUCAUGAUAGUUUGGCUGGUUUAAUAACUUGCUGCUCAGUUAUUUGGCAGGUUAGGAACGAUACGAUCUUUCGCAACAUCCGAUCAAACCCCAUGUUGUUAAUCUCCAAGAUGAAACUGUUGACGAACUCUUGGGAACAAGUCUUCUCUCGGUUAGCCGAGUCUAGUUUUUUAUUUUUGUUGUCAUGUGACUCAUGUCAUGUCGUGUUGUGUCGUAUCUCAUUGGAGGCCAAGAAUAUUUUACCGAUAUAGUUUAAUUCAUAUAUCCAAUGAUCUAAAAGCAAAAAAAAAAAUUUAUCUGACUAAUUAAUACUAGUCAAUUUAUUGCUAAUAUUUAAUAUUUAAUUAUUUAUUUUUAAAAUAUAAUUUUUCAAAUUAUUUUUUAAAAAAAGAUUAACAUUUACUGUUAGAAUAGAGACAAUGAUAAUAAAAAAAAUUAUUAAAAAAUACCUACUGAAAUCCAACUUAACUGAACAGAAAAAAAAUUAUAUAUAUUAUUCAAUUUUCUGCAAAAGUUUCAAAAUAUAUUUAAUAAUUAAAACUUUUGGGGAGUCUCUCUGUAAUUUUGAUAGUUUAGUGAUAUGCGCGCAAUUUACUUCUCAAAAGAGUAAAAACCGGAUCCGAUAUAAAACGGAUCCGUAACGAUGACCCACUCGUCGUUUGGAUCGGGUUAACUCCAAAUUAGGGUUUUUUUUGCUUCGCAUAUAAAUGCGAACCGAACCCUUCCCUCCGCCGCACUUUCCUCAUCCCCGAGAGUUCGAUUCUAGGGUUUUCUCUACGAUCCAGAGCGAGAAUUUAGUGAAAGAUGGGGCACUCUAAUGUAUGGAACUCCCACCCUAAGAACUAUGGCCCAGGAUCUCGAGUUUGGUAAGUGAAUCCUCGUCCCCAAUCUUCUUUUCUAUCGAUUCAUCGCCUAAUUAAUGUUCUUUUUUUCCCUGGAUCUCGAGUUUGGUAAGUGAAUCCUCGUCCCCAAUCUUCUUUUCUAUCGAUUCAUCGCCUAAUUAAUGUUCUUUUUUCUUUUCUUUUUUUUUUUUUUUCCUUUGGUGAUUCUAUAUGAUUUUAGAGUUAGGAAUCAUUGGAAACGCGGUGAAGUUGCGAACUUGGAGAUUUGUUAGGGCUUUGGGGUUGUUUGUGUGCUAUAUAGUUUAUGCCUUUGAAAUGUUUUAUAUUUUGUCUCUCGUGAUGUUAUAUUUAGAUAGAGCCAUAGGUGAUUAAGAACUUGCUUAAAAAAACCCCUUUUUUGGGAUUUUUUUGGUUCCGAUAUCGGGUUCUCCUGCACCUGAUAAUGUUUCCUUAAAUGAGAUAUCUCUUAUUGCAAAGUUUUUUUUUUAAAAAAAACCUUUUGAAAAAAAUCAUCUGGUUCUUUGUUGGAGUUUUUUUUAAAUAUGGAAUCUAAAGUCAUUAAAAAUCUUGUAAAAGGAAAAAGUGAAUUUGAUCAACUGGGAUUUUAUUUAAUAAGGUUUUAGUAUUGAGAAGCUAGCUGAACUAUACAUUUUUUCAGUUGAAUUGUUUGGUUUAGUCUUUUGAUUGUUAGAGUCUGCUUGGAUGCGUGAAUAUCUUGUUUGGCGUAUAUCUUUUGUGUACUCGAGGGUCGUAUGGUAAUAAAGUUGAUUUGGAGUGCAAAUACCUAUAUCUGCAAUUGCAUAGUAUAUAGUGCACUCUUUGAAACCAAUAGAAAGAGGGAAGGAAAAAAGAGAAAAGAAAAGGAGUAAAAGAAACUGAAUUUCUCUUCAGUUGUUUGGAUGCACAUAAAGAAAGAGAUGAUCUUUCUAUAAUUUGUUUUCUCUCUCACAAAGUUAACAGGAAACAUGCAAAAACAUUUCUUUCCUACUUGUCUUUCUCUCCUUUUCUCUCCUUCAAAGAGGGAGCUAGCGAAGGAGGUGAAUUUUGCAUCAAUGACUAUUUUUAACUUUUUCUCUCGUUGAUCUUGCGCCUUUUUUUUUCCUUUUUUUUUUUUUCUAUUCUGCAUGCAGCCGGGUUUGUGGGAACCCCCACGGAAUGAUUCGGAAGUAUGGGCUUAUGUGUUGCAGGCAGUGCUUCCGUAGCCAUGCCAAGGAUAUUGGCUUUAUUAAGGUAAAUAUCUAAUGAACCUUUUUUAUUCUGCUUAUGUGUGGAGGUUACUUCUUUUUUACUGUGUGGAUUAUACGUGGUGGAUAUGAAUCUUUAGCAAGAUCGAGUGCCCUCCGACAGUUGGUAUGAUGUUUUGAACUUGUUAAAUUGUCUGCUGUUAUAAAUGGCCAGAAACCUUGAUAUUUUUGAACCUGACUAAAUCUGAAACUGAACUGUAUCAUCUGGAGUGGUUUUUUAUCAGCUUUUUUAACUAUAUUGGAUUCAAUUUACGCCAAUGAUGUUUAUGGCUUAGCAACCCUGCAAGUUUGUAUGACUACUUGUAGAUGAAUGAUUUUCAGGCAACAAGAUUCUUUUUCACACUGAUUUAUCCAUUUUUCGUGCCGUAAUAGUUAACAUAUGUGGUGUCUAUUAGAGUAAAAGGAGAGUAGCUAGUGCGAAACCGCAGUAUUGUCCCAGUGCAUCGGGUCUGCCCCCAAUCUGGGUUUUGUGGAAUCUCAGAUGCGCAAAAUUUGCUCUUGAACUUCCAUUUUGUUCCUUAGUUAUAAUUGGACCAAAUGAUGAACUACUAACUGAUCAUGUUUUGUAUCUCAAUGGUCACGUGCACCAUUUCAAAAUUUAAUAUAUGCUGUAGCUAUCUCACUGGUGAUAUUAUAGAACAAAGAUAUAAAUGUUACCCUUGAUAAGUAUUGUGGCCUGGGCCAAUUAAUCCUUUUGGAAAUUUUAGAUCAGUGCAAGUAGUAAUCCUGCUGCUUUCAAUCCUAUAUUACUUUUCCACUAUUUUUCUGUCCUUUGCCUUGAAAUUUCCUUUUUAGCAGAGGUAAUGUGAGCAAGAACUGAACUUUUAUGGCUUUUUCUUUUUUAUAGUACCGCUGAGCAUAGUUCGCGGUGAUUACCAUCAACUGGACAUGUGGUUUAAUGGGAAAUCAAGAGUGGAUUCGUCAUCUUUCGGAAGAUUGUCUACAAUAUUUAGCAAUGCCAUGUUAGUUUUCAUUGACGUUUUAUAUUUAAUUAUGUAAUGGAUCAAGUACCUGUAAGAUGUGGUUGCAGAAUCUAAUUUCUUCGUGGUUUAGUGUCAAUUGUGUCAUGGAUGAAAGUUUCACAUGUGCACCUUUCUUUUUCCUAGUGCUACUGCUGCCCGUUCCUUCAUCCUUGAUUUGUUUCGCCAAUACUUUUUAUUUGAUUGUUGUUUAGGUAGUGCGGUCCAAUCGUAUUUAGAUAUCCUGUGUUGGAUUUCAUCAUAUUAAUCUUAGUAACACCAAUAAGUGAUGUUGUUUUAUACAUCAACAUGCCAUUUUGGUGGGCCGCUAUGAACCACACACUGCCCCCCUACUUAGUUGUUUUAUACAUCAACAUGCCAUUUUGGGCUGCUAUGACACCCCCUGGCGAGUCGUAUUUUGCUUGCUUUGAUAUUAAUCACUUCUACUUCUCAUGGUGGUACUAUAUCAUUAUUUCUUAAAUUCUGUUUCUGCUGUUGAUUCAAGUGUUCACGAAUUUUCGAUGCAGCCUCAGUCUUAGUUGUUAUUGCAAACAGAUUUUCAAAACAAAUGCUUGACGUUAGAUUUCAUUGCUGGAGGUGUUGGAAUUCAAAUCAGUCAGUAAUAUAAGGAAAGCUUCAGAUAUGUGAAACAAAGCUAUUAUUUUGCUUUCUUUUCUUAUCUGAAUUAUACAUGAUUGUUAUACGCGAGAGACAGAUACGGAGAAAAGAAAAGAGGAGUUUGAUUGAAGAAAAAAGAAAAGAGAAAGGGAAAAAAGGGAAAGGGAAAGAAACUGUUGAAAUGAGACCAUUUUUUCUAUGGUUUAUUAUUAAGUAAAACUAGGGAGAUUGGAGGACCAAUAAGCGUAAAUGUUGCUGAUGAAUCAAUUUUUAUAUGUUGCUUUUAAUAAUAGGUUUAGCUUUUUAAACUUAAACCAUGAAGCUUGGUAAAACACUAAUUUUGAAAAGCUGAACUGUUCACUAGAUAGUAGAUAUUCCAGGAUAGAGUCUGAUGCAGAUGAAUCAUUGCUUAUCUUGUAAACCUCUAUUUUUUUUUUUUUUUUUUUUUUUUUGUUCUCUUUUCUCUCCUUUGAUUGCUAAACUAUAGUGUGAUUCCCUUUUCUAUGUAUCUAUCCAUCUCUGUUAUUCUCACAUUUUAAUUAACAAAUCAAAUGUACAAAUCUGUCAAUUUGUCAUUCAUCAACAGGUGAUGUUCUGAUUCUCGAAUCUUCUUUCUUUAGCAACACAUCUUGGAUGUAGAUGCUUAAAAAGAUGCUCAAUUAAACGGAUAAAAUAUCGGCAAAAGUCACAAAUUUGACCCAAAAAGAGAGAGGAACUAGUCAAGUGCGUGUUAUUGCUCGUGUGUGGUGUCACUAAAAAGAAAAGGCUAAUGUGAUUAUAGUUUCCGGAUCGCAGAAACCCCCUCCGACCUGUGAUCGGGAUCGCACAUACCAAUUUGUGUUGGGUUCUCGAUUCAGAAUACAAAAAAAUGGCGAAUUGGAAUCAUAGAGAAGCACCUCAAUUUUCUAAAUCUAAAUCAUAUUUCAGAAUAACGUUCCGACUAUUCCAUUCCAAGCAACAUUAAAUGUGAUUAUCUGGAAGGAGACUUGAAACCUACUAAAGAAACACCUAUCAACAACCUCCCUGAGUUAACCUCAUCAUAACAUGUUUUCUUUUCUCUUAAGCUAAUCUCAACAUUGGUGUUGUCGACUCUUUUCCUUCCUUUUCUUUUUACGAUUCUUUUAUAGUAAAUUGCACUACAAGCCCCUUAAACUUUUGCUUUUCGGUUUUUGAUUUUGAAAUCAUGAGCUUUUAAUAUUUUAGUGCUGAACUUUUUAAAAUUAUUUCUUCUUAGUCCGCACAUUAGAAUAAAAACUAUUUUCUGCACGUAGUUCAUCUGACACGGUGGACACCGGAAUUGUCGAUAAAUGUAUAAGUGUAGAUAAUAAUUUAUCGAGUAAGUAACGGUAAACACACAAAAGGACUAAAACAAAACUCUCAUUAGAAGAGUGAGCUAGGGCCUCAAACUUUUGAGCAUAAACUUAGCAGAAAGAAGUUCAGGGACUUAGCAGUACAAUCCAACCCAUUUUUGGUAGAUUGCUGUCCUGCUGAAUGAAGAAGUCAGAAGCACUUUGAGAUGCCACAGCUUUCCUACCAUCCCUUCUGCACACUCUCAUUUCACUAUCAACUAGGGAAGAGUGGAGUGGGGUUUGUAGCCCAUAUCAUAUCUUAUCUUUGUCCAUUGAUUCCUCUUUCCCAUAAUAGUGAAUGGAGUGUGCAGCAAAAAGGGGGUGCUUUCAUAAACAGAGCCCAGGCAAAAUCAUGCUCCUUAAGCUAACACCCACUUUUGAGUGCUGGGCCAUGUAAGGUACUUAGCUAGCAAACCUUCUCAGUGGGACAUGACAUAAUUAGGAUUGAAUAGUAAGUCUCAAGUGAGAAAUUUUCUUUUUCUUUUUAAAGGAUGCAUUUGGAUUCACAAAUCUCUCGAUCCAACGUAACUCAAGUACAGUGAUGUUUGAGUUUUUCUGAAGUGUGAUUAUUUUUUUACUGUUUGGUUUGAUGUGACUUGCACAACCUGAAAGUUGAAUUCAAUCACUUUUUCUGUUUGUUUUGCUGUAACUUGAUACUGGUGAAAUUAGUUUUUUGAGUUUUAUUAUUUAUUUUGAUAUAAGUAAGUGGAUCCUAUUACCUCCUAAGUAUAAUGGUAAACUUAUCCAUAUAAAAUCAAACCUAUUAAAUAAUUAAAUUUCUCAUUAUUGUUUAAAAGUAAUCUUAAAUCCAUUGCAAAGAAAAGUAACUCUAACCCAUUCUAAAGAAAGUAGAGUUUAAGUUUUAAUAUUUAAUAAUUUUUUUAGAGAAAGAUGAGUAUGGUGGAACUUGAGUUCGAUACUUUAGAGGGAGAACUUAAGAGUAGAUAAAGUAGAGGUUGUAGCUUGCGUUAUAUUAUAUUUUUCAACUUACAAUAAAACAAAUAUUAGAAAUGAUGGAACUUGAAUUGCACCCCUUCACUUACACCAAAACAAACAGCUCCUUACCGCUUGGAUUGGGGAUAAGGGGUGGAAUAACCCCUUAUUCCCUCUUUAUACCCAAAUGCUAAUUUUUUAUCCGAAAAUAAUAGUCUCGGGUACCUGAAAUAAACUGGUAUAACUAUUCUCACCAACACCUUCAUUUUCUAUAUAUAACUACUCACUAUUUUUCUUAUUCCAUAUUAUCUAUCCAAACGUUAUUUUUCUUAUUUCCGGAAACAAUCCCAAUUUUCAUCCAAACGCUAUUUUUCUUAUCCCCAUAUUUAUACCUAUCCCUGUAAUAGCUACUUCUUGCAGGAAGAGAGGACCAGCCAUAGAAAAAAUUAGAAGCCAAUACGAUUUAAUGAUUUUCUACUUUCCUGGUUGAUCUUCUUGUUUCUUACAGAUUAAAAGAGGAAAGCAUAAUUUCUAUGACACUUAACAAAAUAUAGUGGGAGAAUAAAUAAAAAAUUCCUAGGUAUAUAUGAUCAAAAUGACAAGUUGGAUUUUCUUUUUCACAUGAAAAAAAAAAGAAAAAAAAAAACCUGCAGCUAUUAUUUGUUGUCCAUAAUUGCUUGCAUGCCUGCCGUGUUCUGAGAAAACUUGUUGUCCAUUAAUUCUCAGAAGCCAUUCAGUGGAAUUAAUUAUAUUUUUUUGUCUGUUGCAGGAAUAUGUUCAAAGUUUCCAUAAAAAAUAUGACCAAAGUGCUUAGUUUCUAUGCAUGUAACUAAAAUACAAAUGUUGAUGCAAUCCAAAUACUAUGAUGAGACCUAGAGAUCUUAAUCUUUCCUUUGGAUUCAUUCAAUUCUGUGAGCUCAACUUCAAUAGAAGUUUUUUGGAUGAUAACUAUAAUGAGUUCUUUAAUUAUAAUUAUAUCCCUAAAAUGCUUGUGAGUGAGGAUUCCAAUGGCAUGCUUUAAAUGCAUGCAUGCUUUGGAUUUUACUGAUUAAUGCUAUACCCAUUUCCAUUGUUUGUAUCACUUUUGUAAUUGUUAUUAGAGAAUUAACAAAAAAAAUGUCACAUCAGUGUAUGUGAAAUGUUAUUAAAAAGAUUGCAUAUGAGCAAAGCAUUUUUCUAUACGUCUAAAUCUGACGCGAGAAAUAAAUGAUAUACUCGUAUUCUUGUAUAGUAUUCUCCUCUAGAUUUCGAAGAAUAGUUUGCUUUUGAGCGCUAGAUUUACUCUACUCAGAAGCUCUAGAUUCAUCAUUUGCGACACUGAACUUUACGAAACUAGGCCAAACAAGCACUUAAUAAGUCGAACGCACACACAUGCGUGACGUUUCGCUUUGCACCAGUAAAGGAAAGGUUCGAAAGAAUAAAAGUAGAUGCGUUGUGCCUAUCUAUAAGAGGUUUCGACUUCGACCCCACAUACAAAAGAAAAAAAGAAAAAUGUAGAAAAGAGAGGAAGAGGAGCAGAACCUCCUUGGAAGCAAAGGGUAAGAGCUUAGCGUGCAAAUAAAAACAGUUUUUUUUCACGCUAAAGCUGAUUAUUUUUUGCACAUUUUUUAUUUUUGCUGAUCGCAGUUAUUCGCGAAUGAAGCAUUAAAUGCAGAUGAUUACGCGCGAAGAACAAGUGUUAAUCGUUAGCUUCGUCGAAAGCUAAGGUACUCGACUAUAAAACUGUAUCUUUUCAUUGUUAAUGCCUAUUCUUAAGUUCAUGCUCUUAUUACUCAUUUUCACUUUGUUUUCUAAACAUGCAACUUAAUUACAUUCUAGUUGAUUAAAUUUGUGAGAUGAAUUAAUGCGCAGUAAUUGAAUAUUUUGUUAUCCAAAUUAAGCGAACUAUUCGUUUACCAAUGUUUUUUUUUUCGAUUUUUUCGCUUUCUAUUCUACAUAAACAAGCAAGAUAUAUAUUCUACUGUUUUGCGGUGCUUUAAUUAGAGAGAUAAUCCAAAAAAUUAACUAAUAAGCAGGAAUUAAUAAGUUUUGUUUAUGCUCCAUCAUCCAUGGUAGUUAUAAUAAUAAGUUUUGAUUUUGAUAAAAAUUUCUUUUCAAAAGUGAUUAGGAAACAAAUAGGUUACAGUUAAUUUAAUUUGGACCAAAUGGAAUAAAGCUUAAUAAUUGCUUCGCACUUUAUUAAUUCAAUUUAUCUUAUACUGUUAAUUAUCUAGGCCAUUAGUUGUAAAAUGUAACAAUAUGUUUCCUUUUUUUUUUUUUUUUUUGAAGUUUUCCCAAAUUUUAAAGCAUAAUGUUUAAAUUGAUACGUAAUCAUUAUAAAAUACCAAGUAAUGAGAAAUUUGUAGUUAAAUAUGUAUAUAUUUAUAUUCUAUUUCAUUAUUAUCAUAUUUUGUGGGGCUAUUGAAUUAGAUCAAAUUGGCUUUUCAGAGAGUACAUAAAACUAGUAGCUAGGUAUUGCCUCCUUGUUACGUUUACUGUCCCUAUCCAACCAAAUUUAUAUUCGCAAACGCUAACUCGGUCCACGAAUCAAUUCCCAUUUCUUGGAUUUCAUUUUUGGGCUAAUCAAAUUCAAAUCUACUUAAACUAUGCUUCAUCUGUUGAAAAUAAAUAUUUGAAAAAUCGAUAGUUUUUUUUUUUUUUGCUACCUGUUUUGUUUUGUUUUUUUUUAAAAUAAACUUAGUUAGAAAUGUAAAUCAAAUAGACUUCGGCUUUUUUGGAAUUGCGGGGAGAUUGCGUUACGUGCAGUGAGGAAGUGCGAUGAAAAAAUAUUCUAUUUGUUUCCGUACGUAUGUUUCGCAUAUCGCGAUUAAUCGGUAUUAACUAUCAAGUCCUUUGUUAUAUGCACUAAAAAACGGUUGAUUUUUUGAGAAUAAUAAUUAUUUUACAUAAUUUAAUAAGAAUCACAACAAGAUAUACUGAGUUCGUAUCUUAAUUACCAUACUUUUUAGUCUUAUUUAACUAUCCAGCUCUUUUAGCUGCCGCUGAACGCUGAAACCCUAAUUUGAUCCAUGUCGAACUUGAUAAAAAUCGAGUCGGAUUAGCCUGAUCGAGUUUCGUAUUAGAUUUAAUCCACCCUUAAUUACAUUCUGUCGAACAAGCCACCUAAUUUAUGAAUUGAUUACUGGACCUGACUUUAAGUCGACUCAUCGACAUCAAUCGAGCCAAUCGGAUCAAUUUGGGGUCGAAUUAAGUGGAUUAGGCUCGAAUUUGUUCCACUUCAGAGUUUGCGCCUAUUGCAUGUUAGUUUGCUUGUGUUCGGGUCGUUUAAUUAAUUCAACCCAGAAUUGUUCCACUUCAGUUCUAAACGAUCCGAACACGGGCUAGAUACGAGAUUAAGCUUGAAAAUAAACUUGAGCUGCUCAUGAGUGGCUCCUACUAGUUCGUCGUAGGAAAGAGGUUUCACGACAUUUAUUUAUAUGAUCAUACUUCUUAAUCUCAUGAGAAUAUUUUUGUACUGAAUAAGUUCUUAAUAGAAAUCUUAUUCUGACGUAUUGUGCUAAAUGAACCAAUCGAUUAAAACUAAACAAAUCCUAUAGUUUCAUUAGAGAACGUCCCACUCUUGCAGCAGUCGGACUUGCAUUCUGUGCGAUACGGUGUGCAGAAAAGUUUCGUGCAUACCUAUCCAUCAGUACUGAGAUGCAUCUAAGCUGGCAAUAUCGGAUAGCUCGAAUAUAUUCUGCCGCUGACUAUAAUAAAGUUAUUAAAUUAGGUUGAUUGUUUCUGCACAGAUCCAAAAAUAUUUAAAAAGAAAAAUUGGGUUUUAGCUAGCUAGGUGGUCCUGUUAAUUCGGCCUAGCCGUGUAAUGCAUGCAUGUGCAAUUGAUCUAAUGGGUCCCCUUAGAAUGGAGUUGCUCUCUACAGGGCUUGGUGCUUAGGGCCCCUUCGGUAUCGAGAUCCAUCUACUGUUAAUAGAUAAAAUUAAUUAAGUUGGGACGAAGCAGAUAGAGAAAUGCUUUUGCGUUUUUUUAUAGAAACUACAGAAAAUAUAUUAUAAUCGACUUACUAUUAUAUACGAAAAUAAAUAUGAUAUUUUUUUUUAUAACGCAAUUUUUCUACAGUCCUAAACAGAGCCUUAAGCUCUUGUUACGUUAGUAAACUUUUCCUUUUCAUAGGAUUUGUUUAUAUGCAAGAGAAUUGUGGUCCUAAAUUAAUUAGGUUUUAAAUAGGUGGUUCAAUUUGAUUAAUGACGUAUUAACCGCCGCAUAUAUGUGUCGUGCCGCCUUUUCUUUUCCUAAUUUGGAAAUGGGGUUUGAUGCAAUUUUAGGAUACUUAAAAAAAUAUUAAGCACUUCAAUAUUUUCCUUUUUGACACUAUAAAAUGGUUGUAUACAUGACCUGAAUGUUAGAAAUAUACUGUACUGAAAAUUCGAUCGUGAUUAAAAUCUAAUUAAUUUUGUGAUAAAGAUAAAGACGAAUGUAUAGAUAAACGCAAUUAUCCAAAUAAAAACGUGACCUUAACGGGAAGCAAAUUAGAUUGUAUUGGAAUAAAAUGAAAUGACGAAUCAUCCAAAGAUUUUUAUUUUGUUAUUAGUAUGAAAACUGGAAUGGACAGUUACGAUUUUGAGAGAGGGUUUUGGUUGAGAGAGGAGAGUGAUGAAGAGAGAGAAGAGAGAGGCGUUUGUGAGAUAGGAUUUUGAGUUGUUUACUUUAGAAUGAGCCCGUCGAAGAUUCAAAGCAAGAUUGGAUCAUCCCAUUCCAAUCCCAUUCCAGGGUGAAAUAAGAAUUAGAAUUUGAUUCCUUUAAAACAAAUAACAACUAUUAUAAUUAAUGAAUCCAAGAACUCAUGGCUCAGUUUGAACCUCUGAACUUUAGGAUAGUCCUAUGGAUAACAACCAACUGCAUUGAGUAAGGAUGAGAGAGAGAGAGAUAGUGGUUUGAUAGUUAAGUUCCUUCUAUUUAUGAAAAGUAAGGAUUUUUAUUAUGGUAGCGCAAACAAGUGUUUAGGCAUCCAAUGUUACUUUUUUUUUGAGAAAAAUAGCAUAUUACAGCUUCAUUUAAUUAGAAAAUAAACUGAACUAUAGAUUAAGGCAACCUGGGCCUCGAAAAAAAAGGAAAAAGAAAAAAGGACAAAGGAAAAGAAGAUUACAUGCAAAAACGUUCCCAUGAAUCAAACCAAGAAUAAUUAAGAUAAAUCUGAUUAAAGUAGAAGAAGACAUUUCUCACUAGUUUACUGUUUUGUUGUUGUUGCUGUUGUUGUUGUUGUUGUUGUUAACUUGUUAUGCAUCAUCUUCUUUAAUGCUUAAUGUGCCUACUCUACCUUUUCGACUUGUCAUUUAUCAUCUAACUAAUUACUUGCACUUAAUUUUAAGUCCAAUUGAAACAGGAAUUUGGUUGGUCUUUCUAAAUUUCUUACUUACUAUUAAUUGGGGCCUUUUUAAAGGAUCUCUUGGUAUCCUAUUAAGUUAAUUUUCUUUAGAUAUUUGGAACCAAUUUGUGUUAAAAAUAGAUGAAAUGAAGCAUGCGUAGAACCUAAGAAAAGAACACAAUAAAUCAAAGGGACAAAGAUAUAUAUCUAGGUAGGUAUAUAUCCCUAGUAGAAUGUUCCCUUGUACGUUCCCUUCUUAUUAAGGUUACAGCAUGAAAGUGCAUUCCCAACUAAUUAUAUAAUAAAUCAUUAUUGUUCAUGUAAUGCUUCUUCUAGUCUAGGAUAUUAAUUACUACCUAUAGUACGUGUGUGUGGCUCUUAGCUAGGGAGAAAUUAUUACUAGAUGUGUGCAACUACAUUAUCAUGAAUCACACCAACUAAAUUAAAUGCAAUAUAUAUACCUCUCAAAUUGUACGCAUACGUAGAAUUAGAAAGUUUUUUAUUUAUUGACUAGAUCAAUGUGGAACCUGUGUUCAGUCUAGUUUAUGCAUAUCAAUCUCGUAAAUCAUAUGGAUGUUAUGAUUUUAUGUGCACAUAACUGUGCGUGGACAUGGCAAAAUUUUUUAGGAUCUAUAUAUUUUUCUCUCUAUUUUUUUGCUUGAUCUAUGCAACGAUCAAAAAAACUUAUUUUUCUAGUCUAAUUCUAUGAAAUAACUGAUUAUUUUGAAAGUUUAAACUAUUGAAGAAUAAUACUUCUAAUAUUUUAUACUUAAUAUUAAUUCUCCUUCACAUCAGGGUUAAUCGCGAUUUGAGAUUUUCUUUGUAAUAGGCCCAAGAAGCAGAUUUAAAAAAUGAGUGAAAGUAUACAGGAUUAAAGAGUUCUACAAUAUUCAAAUUUAAAAUUUUUUUAUUCUGAUAUGAGGUGAAAAAAUGUUAAAUUAUGCGAAACAAUUGUUGCUUUCCAAAAGUUUAAACUAUUGGAGACGUUUUUAAUGUCUAUAUUCAACACUUACAUCUACGCUUAAAACUUCUUGAUGCUUUAAGAGGUAGACUUGAAUUAAAUGGAAAUACCAUAUCAAAUUAUAGGAUCAAGAAGUGGCUUGAACUAAAAUGGGAAUGUCAUGUCAAAUUAUAUGGUAUAAUUAUUGUUCUUUAAAAGCUUAAACUAGUAGAGAACAGUAUUUUUAAUGUUAUAUUUAACACUUUUAUUCUUGUCGUGACUCAAGACAUUUUAAUAAACUCAAGACAUGAACUUAAAUUAAACGGGAGGAAAAUAAAUAAUGCUAAGAACUUGGUAAGAUUCGAAGUGUUUUUAAUAUUUAUAUUUAACUCUUUCACUCGUGGCCGGACUUGAGACAUUUUGAUAGGCCUAUGACAUGAACUUUAAUUAAAUUGAAGAAAAUUAAAUAAUGUUAAGAACCUAGCAAGAUUUGAAGUGUUUUUAAUAUUUAUAUUUAACAUUCUCCCUCACAUCUGAACUCGAAAUAUUUUAAUAAACCCAAGACAAUGACUUGAAUUAAAUGAGAGGAAAAUAAAUAGAGGACUUGAACUAAUGAGAGGAAAAUAAAUAAUGCUAAGAACCUUGCAAGAUUCUAACUUAUGACGUUUAGCUCUGAUAAUAUGUUAAAUUAUAUAAAAGACCAUUUUUCUCCGAAAGCUUAUACUGCCAAAAAAUGAUAUUUUUAAUAUCUAUAUUUAUGCACAACAAUUGUUAUUUUUCAAAAUAUUAAGCUAUUAGAGAAUAAUAUUUUAAUAUUUAUAUCUAACACUCUUCCUAAAUGUUGACUUGAAUUAAAUGAAAAAAAAAAUUAUGUUAGGGGCUUGGCGGGACGCAAAGUCAAAAUCUCCUCUGAAAGAAUAAGUUGUCAGAGAACAUUAUUUUUAAUAAUUAUAUUUAACAAAAGAUCUAUUACUUUAAAAUCUUAAGUUACUAGAGAAUGAUAUUUUUAAUAUUUAAUAUCCAACAAGUCAGUUUUACCAUGCCUUAAAAAAAUGAUGAUGAUUUUCCUCCUGAAGCCAAUUGUGUAUGUUAAUCCUAGUCUCAAUCAACAAACUCCAACUAUAUAUAUAUAAUGCAUCACUUUAACCUACCCCUUAGUUAAAAUGCCACUAUCACAAUUAAUUGAGCUCCUAUAUUAAUGAUCAUUCUUAUUUAUGAAAUGAUUUUGAUGAAAAUCUACUUAACUUCCUGAAGAAAUUUCAAGCAACAUUAAGUGGGUGAAUUAAGAUGGUAAUUAAGCAACCUAUAUUGAAAUUGAAAUGCAGUUAAUCUCCUCUCUCUUUAUUCUCUUUUGCUAGCUUAGAAAGGAAGCAACAAAACUACUUGAAAAUAUUUAAUUAGGUGGCUUAAUUUGUGUGAUUAAGAUUUGUGAACAAAAACUCUAUUUGCAGAUCACUUGAGCAUGCAGAGUACUGAGGUAUCAACCACAAAGAGAGGAAAUUAUGGGAAAUAAAUUAAAUGCAAAUACUUAUUAACUUUAAUGCUCACAUAAAUUAGUUUCUUCAAUAAGAGAAAUGUUAUCUAUGAUUGAAUCCUUAACCUGGACCAUUAAUUAAUUUCAUGCACGUACUAUCUCUCACUUAAAUUUCUCUACCAGACACUUUGACUUAAAUGCUUCAUAUGUACAUGAGAAAAUGACCAAAGAAAUGGAGCAAAUUUGCAUGAUAGUAACAAAAAAUAAAAAGAAGAAUAAAAUGGUGCAAAAUUAAUUGUUCUUCACAAGAAUUGAAAUAAAACAACAAAAAUAUGUAUGCUAUAAAAUAGAAGAUAUACAUAAAUAGACGAAAAUGUAUGAACAAAUUCAAAUAUUGAACUUGAAACCUCUCAAAGUGGAAAACGCUUAUGACCGUCUCUGAUACCAUACUAUCAAAAAAUCAAUAUAGUAAACAACAAUUCAGGAUUAAUUAGUUUGUAGUUUCCAAAAAGAAAAAUGAAAAAGGAUAUGACAAACAAAAUAGAAAAACAAUUUAAUUCAAGGAUCCAACUCUUACUGUUAUAUAUAGAAAUUAAAAAGCUAUUGAAGAUAUUUAAUUUUUUUGGAAAAAAACUGUUAAUGCCUCAACUUAAUGGAUUUGUAACUAUCCAAGACUAUAUAUAGGGCAAUAGAAAAAUUAAAUUGGCCCACUUAAGUGCAUUUUCACUUAGAUCUCUUGUCCUAAAUUCGAUUAAUUAUAUAAUAACUUGAACUUAAUUAACUAAGCAAUGGAUUAAUAAAUUAAACUCUUCAAUAUCGUGUUUUCUAAGGAUUGGAGUGUAGAUCACCUUCUAGCAAAGCUUACCCCCAUCAACUUAACUCAAGGUGGUGGCAUAAUUGCAUAAAUGGACCACGGUUAUACGUGACAUUAUUAAUAGAAAGAGACAACAGUGAUAUGUGAAUUAUUAACGGAAAUAAUUAAUUUUGAUGUUAAUAUAUGAAUUUCUUGAAUCCAGUCGCUGUUUAUUUAACAAAUUUCAUGUAUUAAUGUCAAUGAGUCACUCUUAUUGCUUAGAGAGGUCAAAAUCUUGUAUUGUAGCGGUAGGUCAGGUUAGGUCAAAUUGUGUUUAAAAUAAUAUUGAGUUACGAUCGAGAUCAGUAGGUGUUAUUCUUGUACACUUUUAAUGAAUUAAUUAUAUAAUUCUAAUAGCUCGACGUUUUAGAAUUAACCCUAUAAAUAAUAUCAUUUUUGUUAUAAAAUUGUUUAUUUUAUUUUUUCUUUUUAAACAAGAAGUUGGUUCGGUAUCUCUAGUACAAAAAUAAGGCAUUUAUCAGUAAACUGAUAAUAUAUUAUACUAUUUGACCAUAAUCUAAGAAUAGGAGUAAAACUGAUUUCACCAUAAUCUAAGAAUAGGAGUAAGAUUAGCUUUGGUUCUUUAUCUAAGACUUAAUUUGGCAGUCCCUCCACGUUGUUUUCUCCAUGUCCUUUUAUUAAUUAAUUAAUUAAUAUUAUAUUACUGUUUCCUCAAAUUUGUAUAUUAAAUUUUUUCUAAAAAUCAUUUUCUCCUCAACUUUGUACUGUUUCUCUCUCUCUCUCGCUCUCUCUUCCCUCUCCAGCAACGGUAUUAUGAGUAGCCGUCUCCCUAGACCGGUUGUACGCACGUCAUCAUCCGGUUUUUAUGCUGCGCCGGACGACGUGUCGCGGAUUGAUUAGUCGGGUCUACUGGACCAGGUACGAGAAUUACAUUGACCGGCCUCUAACAUGGCCUAUUCCUUCGCCAUCACCCUUCUCUUUGUUAACACAUAAAUCCCAAAAUAUAGUAAUAAGUGUUUGUAGACCAAAUCCCAAUUCCGAAUCUCUCCUCCUGUGUAUGUAAAGUAAAACACACUCGCUAGUCGCUCACUCACGCGCCCCAAAAACCAAUAUCGUAUUUUAGCAAAUUAACUCGUCUAGAUACUACAAAAAUAUCCCACUAAUUCAACCCAAAAAUAAGGGAACAACACUCUCUAAACAUAAACAUAUUAUACACUCUCUCUAUCUCCUCACUCCUCAAGUUUCUCUACUUCCUCAAACAACAGCAGUAGUAGAAGAAGCGACCCUAAGCGAAGGGAGAAAGAGGAAGCGCUUCCGGUGAGAUUACCGCCCCCAUCUUUUGAAACGUAUUUGGGAACGAGAAGACGAUAAUAUAGCUCGAGCUCGAGAUCGAGAUCUCGCCACCGACAAUGGUGGCCGCCGCCGCCGGGGUGAAUCCGCAGCGCCCACCGCUGAUCCCGUCGGAGAAGGACAAUGCCGGCGCCGCCGCGCUCCCAAACGCGCGGCGCCGCAGCGCUAAGGAGGUCACCUCCCGCUACCUCUCCUCCUCCUCCUCCUCGUCCUCUUUGACCUCCACCUCCACCUCCACCUCGACCUCGUACUCUUCUUCUUCUUCUUCGACCUUUACCACCACCUCGACCUCGCGGCGCUUCCCCUCCCCGCUCGCCGCCGCGCGGCCCUCGACCCCCUCGCCCGGAGCCUCGACUGCUCCCUCGACCGGAAAGACUCCAUCUUGGCCACCGUCCACCUGCUGCAGCGCUCCAUGGUGCUCGACGACCCCACCCGGCGCGCCUCCUUCGACGCCGCCGAGCUCUCCGCUUCCUCCGAUACGGAGAGCGUCUCCUCCGGGAGCAAUUCGGACCUCGCCACACCCGCUCGAUCGAAAGCCCCGCCCCGGGGGAUCAUCGUCCCCGCGCGGUUCUGGCAGGAGACGAACAGCCGCCUCCGCCGCUUGCCCGAGCCCGGAACGCCUCUGCCCACGAAACCAGGGCUUGCUUCGCCGCCCGGUAACCGCAUGCCUUCUCCGGCGAGAGGGAUGACCAGCCCUUUGAGGGCGCGGGGCGGCUCCGUUCCAGUUAUUCAGCUGGCGAAUGCGCCUUCUAUAAUAAGCUUCGCGGUGGAAGUGAGGAGGGCGAAGAGAGGGGAGAACCGGAUAGAGGAGGCGCACGCGUUGCGGCUACUGGAUAAUCGGCAUUUGCAGUGGCGGUACGCGAACGCGAGGGCCGAUGCCGUGCUUCUGGCGCAGAGAUUGGCCACAGAGGUAACUGAUUGCUAAUAAUGCUAUUGCUGUUGGUGUAUUUCAAAUUCAGAUGUUCACAGAAAUUGCUUAGUUCAACAUAUAAUUUGACUUAUUUCGUUUGCACCUUUGAUUUGUAGAGGAAACAUCAUACUUGCUUCCCAUUUCGUAAUUCUUUUACUCGGGUUUAUAAAACCAUAAUUUGUUAGUGCAUCGCCUGAUCUUCGGUAUGUCUCUUGAUUCGAUGAUCAUGCAAAUUUGGAAUUGUAGCAACUUGUUAUAUUUGGCUUUGUCGUAAUUCGUUAUCUUUCAUAUUGCUUAAUGAAACUUAGAAGGUAUCCUGCAAUAAGAUAACGAUUGCUAACUUGCUUAAUAAUUGCAUGCUGCAUCUGGAUAUCCUGUGUCAUUUUCUUGUUAGCGGCUACUUAAAUCUGUAACGGCAGCGACCAUCAUAUGCUCAUUAAUUUCUUCGUUUAGAAGUGCCAUUAUGAUUAAAUUUGGGUUCAACUAGGAGUGGCAUGCAAGUCUUAAGCUCUGGCCACCUUCAAUGUUGACGAAGUAAUCAAACAAUUUUGUGAAGUAGGAAACCAAAAAAUUGUCAAAACAGAGAACCGUGCAUGCAAAGCUUACAGUUGCUAAAACAAGUAUCACAACACUGCUCCAAUCUUGCCAGGGUUCUUCUGGGUCUCUCUCUCUCUCUCUCUCUCUCUCUCUCUCUCUCUCUCUCUCUCUCGUUCGCUUGCGUGCGCAUGCGUAUUGGGCUUGUGGGAGGAUCUUAUUGUCAUUUUCUGUAUCAAGAUUUUUUGGUCAUUUUUAUCUGAGAUGUGUAGCACUAAGUGCUCUAACCUGCAUUUGUUGAUUAGUCUAUUAACACUGGUCACUUUGAAGAUAGCUUGUGCUUGUACACAAUUUUAGGGUUGUUUGAAAACCCAGGUGCUAAUAUUCUUUCAUACACGCCAUAUAUUUCUAAGAUUUAUCUUUGAGCACUCUGGUGGAUGGCUCUUUGUUUAGCUAUUAUUUUUGGUAGUGAUUUGCAUCCACACUUGAGAAAAUUGAUUGUUUUUCUUUAUUUUGUCUCAGAAAUAUGCUUAUGAUCUUAUCUACUGAUACUUGUUUUAUUGUUGUCAGAAAAAUUUGUAUAAUGCGCGGAUAAGUAUCUCAGAAUUGCGUAACUCUAUCACUGCCAAGCGUAUUAAGCUCCAACAUCUGAGACAAUGUAUUAAACUAAGUACAGUUCUCAAAGGACAAGUAAGUUCUCUCGUCGUUUCUUUAUUUACCAGUUAUAUCUACAGUUACUCCAUUUCACCAUUUCUUAGUAAUUUUGCUCUGGAGUACAACAAUGAUAUUGGACAAAUAGCUAAAUAUGUAUAAGGUUUCAGAAUUCCAGUAAAUGCUUUCUUAUUUACCUAGAUAGCAAAACACAUUAAGAAAAUAAUUUGCGAAGGCCUAAGUUAUAGUGAUAAAUACAAACUGUUCAGGGCUAGAAAGAUUAAGGAUGAAUUGGGGAACCAGUCAUAUCUACUAUUGUAGAUACUCUGAGCUACAUACAGACUGUCAUGAUAAUGCUCAUUUAUCGCUUAAAAAAGAUAAGAUAAGAUCAAGCCCUGCAGUGCCGUGAUUCAUACCCACGCUACAAUGGCAUGUUGGUUGUGCUACUGACAUGCUACCCUUGUGUCAGACAUGCCCUGGCAUGGGAUAUUUGUUCAGAACAUUUAAGCUAAAAGCUCCAUGUCACAGAAUAUGAUGGAUGUUCAAUUAUAAUUCUAAGAGUUUCAAAAGUAUUAAUUGAUAGAAUUUCUCACUACUCCUGGGUGAAGUUCCUUGAAAUUUGAUUGAAUUGAGAAUUGAAAGUAGGGAAAAGUAAUGUUUUCCAAUACUGGGAAAUGUAGGUUGAAAUUUGGAAAAUAUUUCAUGGCAAAAAUAAAUCUGAUUUCAUUAAAUUAUCUUAUGCAAUUAUAAGAAGCAAGCUUACGCACAGUGGCUUGUUCAAAAAGAUUCACAUGAUUUUUUUUCAAUUUUAUCAAAAGAUCUACAUAGAAGGGACUAACAGUUAGCAAAUGGCCUUAUUAAAAUAUUAUCUGAAUAAACUGCUGAAGUUAAGAAACAUUGCUCCUAAGACAUGAAACAAAAGGAGUGCAGAUUGCUUUUCUACGACCUCAUUGCCUCCCUUGUUUCUUGAAGAUGUUUCUUGCAACUUCUUUGAGGUUGGUUAUUGGUAAAUCUGCUCACUUAAUGUGAAAAUUAAAUGUUUCCAUGUGAUUAUUUUACAGAUAAAUUAUCUGGAAGAGUGGUCUCUUCUCGAUAGAGAUCAUUCAAGUUCGUUAUCAGGAGCUAUUGAAGCAUUAAAGGCUAGCACGCUUCGUCUUCCAGUUGUAGGUGGUGCAAAGGUUUGUUCCGAUCUGAUAUUGGUUAGUGGUUUGAACUUACAUAUUUCUGAAGACUAAUAGCCGCAUUCUCUUUGACAGGCAGAUGUCCAAGAUAUGAAAGAAUCUGUCGGGUCAGUAGUUGAUGUAAUGCACACAAUGGGAUCAUCUAUAUACUCUCUACUGUCAAAGGUAGAUCCUUUAUUAUAUUCUCUUACAACAUCUUAUGUAUUAAAAAACUCUCUCUCUCUCUCUCUCAUGUUAGAUUUGAAUUCUUCAGGUAGAAGGAACAAGUUCCUUGGCGUCCGAACUUGCUAAAGUGGCGGCACAAGAAUUAACUCUGUUGGACCAAUUAAGAGAUGUCUUGUCCACUGUGGCAGUCAUGCACGUAAGGCAAUGUAGCCUUCAGGGGCAUUUAUUGCAACUAAAAUAGCGUCGGAGCUAGGCACAGUUGUAAAGCAAAUUCUCUCACCAACUCUGUGAUUACUAACAUCAAAGCGGCCUCUUUGUUUCCUAACUGAAGAUUGCGACAAAAGGUAAUAAAUCAUGGCAGUUUGUUUGCUGCAUCUUGAGAGUACUAGUUCUCCCUGUUUGUUUGCUGCAUCCUUGAGAGUUCUAAUUCUCCCUGUUGAUUUUCACCAAAUGCAGCUAAUUCAUGUAUUUUUGUCUACAUAACAUUAUGAGUGGCUCUUUUUCCUGCAGUGAUUUCAGGAGAUGUAUACAAAUUACUUGUGCUUAUAAAAGAAAAGCUUAUGCAUAUAUAUGUUUAAAUUUAGUGUUUUUUAGUUAAUUUCUUUUUAGAAGAAGAAAAGGUCAUAUAACUCUUUUAUCUCUACUGAAGCACUUCUUGUCUCAUCAAAUGGUUUUAGGAAAAAGGAAAUGAGUAGAGUUCAACCUACACCGAAGUAGGUAAUGAACAACAGGAUACAGCAGUAUCUCUUUACUGUAAGUAUGAUUUAAUUGUAAGUAUGAUUACCUAUAUAACACAGCAACUGGUAGUCGCCACUAGCGUCAAAAAACAGCUAUGACAACUUUGUAGUCUCUGUGUAAUCUUUUUUUUGUUUUUGAGAUCAUUGUUAUUUGCCUUCAUCUUUUGGCUUAUUCCUUACUUCCCCUUCUCCCUUUGCAUUAUUUAAUCUUUGAUGUUCAUGUGAUCUUCUAGGUACUGUUUUAGUGGCACAAAAAAACAUUUAUUAAUUGCAUGUAUAAAUUUUGCUUCAUUAAGAAAUUAUACGAAAUUAUAUUGUAGCUUUUUCUGAGUUUUCUCAGGAUUCUAACUAUUGACAAUUGUUAACUGCAGCUGACAUGAUUUUUUUUUUUUUUUUUUUNCAGAAAAAUUUGGAUCCAAUAUAAAUUGCCAAACACAACUAAGUUAAUGGCAGUAUAUAAUGGAACAAGCGCGAAUCAGUCACUGAUUUGAUAGAGAACUAUAAACCUAUUUUUCUGCCUCAUUGUUUCUUUUAGUAAAGGUAUUAUUUUAAAGGCAACUAAAUAGACUCCUUUGAAGGAACUUUAUUUGUCGUAUUUUCUCUAUCAAAUCAGUGACUGAUUCGCGCUUGUUCCAUUAUAUACUGCCAUUAACUUAGUUGUGUUUGGCAAUUUAUAUUGGAUCCAAAUUUUUCUGGGUGUGAAUUACCUGCUACUGCUGGGUUUUUUCUUAUUAUUUAUUUUUUGCAAAUCAGUCCCUCAAUGAUGCUAUCACUCAUGGGCUCAAUAUUGUUGUAGGAUUGUUUUGCUACCCUUAAUCAGGCUCAAACCCAAGUGAAUCCGAACACAACAUUGGCCCGAAUGAAAAUCGCAGAGACCCGGCCCGUUAUAUAGUGAAAACUUGGAUCUUGGUAAGCCCGAUAGGACUAUCUUUCAUUUUCCCCUUGCCUGCAAUAUAACAGGAGAAAAGUUAAAGGUGCCAAAUUAAUGGCUUUUGUUUAGUUUUAGUAUUAGUAAUUCAUCGGGCCUGAACUGUAUGUAGAUACUAGUCGAUUUUUUUGGACGUUGCAUUUGGUAUCAGAGUCGUAGAUAAUAACGGGGUCGGAGAUAUUUGAUUGCGGGUCCCGUGUUUCAGGGCUUUUUUCUUUUCCAAUUUAAAUCUUCCAAAAAGAAAAAUUUGGUAUCUAGUCUUGUCAAAAUUUUAUUAUGAUAAAUAACUUUCUUUCUUGAUGCAUAAGUGUCAUGACAUAACAGAUUAUGAAAAUUUACAAAGACGGUGAACUAUUUACUAUUUGCAUGCGGUGGUGUCACAUUGCAUUAAAGCCCUAUUUGUAGAUUUGAGAUAUUUGAUAUUUGUGCGUACGUAUUCAACAAUUGCGUUCUGGAUUGAGAAGAGAAUGUAUACUUACGUUGCGUUCUGGAUUGAGAAGAGAAUGUGUUACGUUAUCAUAAAAGAUAUCACGUUGCGUAGAUCAUAAUGAUUUCGUUAAAAUAGUAUUUUGCCAUCCUAUUGAGGAAUAAAUAAGGUUAACUCUCAAUAUUUUUUACUUUAUAUAUGUUCGGUUCUAACUCACGAGCAUUAAUAACUCGCAGGCCUAACCCAAUGGCUCAAAAUGUUCAAGUCCGAUUAUUAAUAUUAGUGUGUUCGUCAUGUAUAAAUUUCUCACAUUCGUUCAUAUUAUCUGAUGUAAAAUUAUCAGAAUGGUACACUUUGAUUUACUUUUUAGCUAAAUAAUAAUAAUAUAUAGCCCUCAAUACGAAACAGGCAAUCUCAUCAAAUCAGCCGCGAAUUUGCGUACAUUUUAGCAUUUGAGAAUCUUCGCGUCCUACUGCUAAUGCUUUUUUUGAGAGAUAGGUAGCACUCUACCCGCUUCGUUUAUUUUAUUUUUGAAAAUAAACUUAGCUGGAAAUGUGAAUCAACUAGAAUUCGAACUUGGGUCUCAGAUACCAACCACCAAGCCCUUUGCCACUUGCUCUAGGGACGGUCGGUCUGCUAAAAUGCUAUUAUGCCAACCAAACUAAUCAAAGGUUUCCAGGUUGGGCUCAGCGUGGCGCGUGGACGCCAUGCACUAGUAAGAUUCUUUUCCCAUGGAGCAAAUAUAUAUGCACCACACAUUUGGGAAUAUCAACACUGGAAUUGUGUUAGUUUACUUCGAAUAUCUGCACAUAAAUAAAUAUAUAUAGCAAAUAAUUAGUUAUUAGGGACAAAAAUCAUAUGAAAAGGGGGUGGGUCAACCAAAUUGCGGUUCAAUGUCCCGUCGUAAUUCUCAUCCACUUGUUUGAUGCCUUCGAUUAGUGGAAAGAAUGUUUGAAAUCUUGACCACACUUUGGCUUUUUCUGCAAGCAGUCGAUAGGUUUACAUGCCAUUUACACGCACUGGAUGUUCUUUUAAUUUUUGGAGCAAAGAAAGAAUUAUUUGUUUUUUUUUUUUUUUUUUUUGAAGUUCUUUUAAUUUUGUGGUUUGUUUGGGAGAACAUUAUAGGCAUAAAACUAAAGUUUCCCACCAUCAAUAACUUAUUAUUAUUAUUAUUAUUAUUAUUAUUUGGGCGGGGAAAGAUACAAUGAACCAAAUAAUAGAAGUGGAUAUUUAUAACUGAGCAGUGCUCUCGUCUCCACUUUGGUGAAACAAACACAUCCAAAAGUAAGUAGCAUGUUAUUAUUGAACAAAAAGGGCUAAAAAAUAUCUUAGGGCAAAAGCAUCUAGAAAUACGCUUUCUCAUUUUUCGAUAAACCUGUAGAAAUUAUAUUUUAUUUGAUGUGUAAAUAUGAUAUUACUUACAAAGGCGAAUAGUCUAUAUUUCUAUCAUCUGUUACCAAAAUCAAAAUCGAAAGAAACUAAAAUUGAACUCGGGAUCCCAGAUAUUAACUUUUGAGACGUCAGGCAACGCUACUAGGUAUAUAUUAUACGGUUUAAUUUGUUGAGCCUGAAUAGUGUAUUAAUGGCAUUUAUCUAAUCAUUUAUAAUAAAUAAAGCUCAUUAAUAAAACAAAGAGCUGGCUCUUUCUAUAUAUCUUGUCAAUCUACAACAAAGAGUGCAUGCAUGAGAUGUAAAAUUUUAAGACAUGCAUUGUAUCCGUCGCUCGUUCGCUCGUUCGUGCAGCUGCGGCGGCGGCGAUUGUAGUUUCUGCGCGCCCCCCUCCUGCGGAGGAGGAAUUCUACACUGUCAUACUUACACCACGUCAUCAAUUAACAAAUCAAUCACAUUCCUUCUUUUCAAACAAAAGUGCAAUAAAAAUACUUUUUUACAAUCAUGAUGGAACGUAUAUUCUUAAAAGAAUUAAUUUGAUUGGUUUGUUACGCCACGUCACUAAUACACCUGUUGCAUUCUAGAAUUUUUCCCUGCGGAGAGUCUAGACUCUCUCUCUCUCUCUCUCUCUCUCUCUCUAUAUAUAUAAUGGGUUUAAUUGCACACAGGUUCCUGUAAAUAUAGUAAAUUAUAAAUAUAUUUCUAUAAAGUUUAACCUUCAUAUAUUAUUUCUAUAAAAGUCUUAAUAUUUUCAAAUAUAUUUCUAUCGUAGAAUUCAUUAGAAAAAUUUAGAUAAUCAUAGAUUAAAUAUUUAAUCCUGAUUAAUUUAUAAGAUAACUUGAUAUUUUUGCUCCUCUUAUAUUAUACUGUUGUGACUUUUGAAAGACAUAUUUGUGACGACAAAAUUGAAAAUAUAAAUAGUUUUUAACGGUUCUCUAACGAUAACAAACCAGAAAAAAAUAUUUGAAAAUAUUAGAAGUUUUGUAGGAAACAAUAUAUGAAAGUUGAAUUUUGUAGAAAUAUGUUUGUAAUUCACUAAGUUUGCAGGGACAUGUAUGUAUUUAACCCUAAUAAUAACCUCUCUGGGACAACUAUGUCCUGGACAAUACAUAUAACGCUUUUUAAAUUCUCUAUUUGACGUGCGUGUCGUAUCCGAAAAGUUUACUAUAUAAAGUUUAUACUAUAUAUCAUCAAUAAUCAAUCAAUUAUAUUUUUUAUUUAAAAAAUUUAAUAAAAAUAAUUUUUUAAUAAUUAUGAGGGGACAUAUGAAUACAAAGGAAACAAUCUUAUUUGUUAAGAUUGCCAUAUCAGCAAUAUAAUUAGUAUAUUCUAGAUAUUUUCGUUAACACCAUAACUUCAAGGCACAAAAGUUACACCAAAGUUCUUGGAGGACUCUUUGCAAUUUAAUACCAAAUAGUUUAAAUAAUACAAUUUUUGUAUAGAGUGUAAUUUAGUCUCAAAUAUUAUAAUUUUAUUUCAAACAGUGUAUUUUUUUCUUUUUUCUCUACAUCUUAGCCUUUCUUAUAGCGACCACGACAAAUGGUGGCCUUCCAAGAUGAAGAAAUUUUUUUAUUUUUUUAUUCUUUUUCGCAUCCAUUUUCGCCAUCGUGCAUCCCUCUCCCGUCCUCUAUCUGCUGUAGCAACUGGCUCCGUCACAACUUCAUCACCAUGAUUUAUGCUAUAUCUGACACUACAACAAAAACGGUCUAUAGCGACACUUUUAAAUGUAGGUACAUGUCAAAAAAGUGCUGCUAGCUAAAAUUACCGACACUUUUAAAAAGUGUUGCUAUAUGUGGGGUCGCUAGGUAUAUAGUGACAGUUAAAGAGUGUCGCUAUAACCUAAAAGAGUGCUACUAAUUUACGAACACUUAUUUAAGCAUUUAGCAACCGCCGAAACUUUAUCUCGUUAGCUGCGGUAGCGGAGGAGGACGACAGGAAAGGCUAUUCGUCUAGAAUUUCAGUGGAUUGAGUGAAGAGAGAAGAAAAUAUGGCAAUUGAUUUUUCUUUUUUUUUUUCUUUUCUGUUUGUAAUCGGGCCAAAUGGACUGGGUGUGGUGGGUUGAGUAGAGUAAUCUUUUAUUUUUGGUUGGAUUGGACUUUAUAUUUAGGCAUUAGCAGAUAUUUUUUUAAGUUUUAGCAUAAAUGGGACACUUACUCAAAAGUGUCCCAAACAUGUGUCCCUAUAACCUAAUUCUGUUGUAGUGUGAGCUCGCGUCGCCGCCGCUGGCAUUGGAAGAGAUGUGGGCGAAGUCGGGGAGAUGCAGUGAAUAAGAAAGAGGAGGAAGAGAAAGCGGAAGGAGAAAAGGAGGAAUGGACGGUGAGAAAAAGGGAGACAAAGAGAGAAAAAAAAAAAGGGACGAGAGGAAGAAAGGAAAAAUAUAAAUUAAAAAAGAAUAAAAAUAUUUUGAUUAGUUUAUUGAAAAAUUAGACUUAAUCUGCAAAAUUCAAAAAAAAAAAAACAUAUUUUUUGCAAAAAUGCAAAAAUGGUGAAUUUUUAAUACAAAUUGGCUAAAAAUAUGGUAAUUAUACAUAAUUUAAAAUAUUAAUGGAAGAAAUUUUUUUCUUAUUUUGAUUGUCUAUUAUUGUGAUUGUCUAUCGGCUUGCAUGCAUUACAUUCUCGCUAAAUAAUAAAUAAUAAUUCAUUUAAAAAUUUGAAAAAACUAUUAUUUUUUAGUUUUUGUUUUUAGUUACUAAAUAUAUUAAAACUUUUGAUGCAAGGAUUGUAAGCAAUUUACUAUCCUUUCUAUACAAUUUCAUGUAAAAAUUCUAUGAAAAAAAUUAAACAAAAGAUAACAACGCCAUACAGGACCUCAUUUUCCAAAAUGAUAUUUUAAAUAUUAAUUCUUUUCAAAUGAAUUGUAAUAUUAUUCUUGUUUAGAUUUUUUAUUAUCUCAUUUGGUACAAUAAAAUUAGUUUAAAAUAUAUCUCAGGUGUUCUAAUGUCACAAAAAAAGAAACUUUUGUCUCUACGACUUGCCUAGCUUGCUCCAAGUAUAGAACGUGGCUUUCGCUCAUUCCAAUCUUAUUUGGAUAUAAAAGUAUAUAUCUUAUUCGGUAUAUUUUUUUGAUUUACUUAACAUACUUUUAAUGUAGGUACGUACCGAGUGUCGUCAACAAUCUGAAGUGGAAUACCAUAUUUAACAUUCUAAGUCCAUAUUUUUCGAAAUGUGAUAAAUUAGUAAACUAUCUAUCACUACAACAGAAUUAGGUUAUAGGAACACAUGUUUGGGACACUUUUGAGUAAGUGUCUCAUUUAUGCUAAAACUUAAAAAAAUAUCUACUUAUGCCUAAAUAUAAAGCCCAAUCCAACCAAAAAUAAAAGAUUACUCUACUCAACCCACCACAUCCAAUCCAUUUGACCCGAUUACAAACAGAAAAGAAAAAAAAAAGAAAAAUUAAUUACCAUCUUUUCUUCUCUCUUCACUCAAUCCAAUGAAAUUCUAGACGAAGAACCUUUACUGUCGUCCUCCUCCGCCACCGCAGCCAACGAGAUAGAGUUUCGGCGGUUACUAAAUGCUUAAAUAAGUGUUGGUAAAUUAGCAGCACUCUUUUAGGUUAUAGCGACACUCUUUAACUGUCACUAUAUACCUAGCGACCCCACAUAUAGCAACACUUUUUAAAAGUGUCAGUAAUUUUAGCUAGCAGCACUUUUUUGACAUGUACCUACAUUUAAAAGUGUCGCUAUAGACCGUUUUUGUUGUAAUGUAUAAUUUAUAACUAUAUAUAUUAUUCCUCAAUAACUAUGCAUGCAUUACAAAACCAAAGAGAUAUAUUAAAAGAAUAAGAUGUUAAUGCAACCAAAAAUAUCUAAAAUAAAAUAUCAUAUUCAGCCUUCAAUUUAUGUUUUCAUAUUGACAUAAAUCAUCUAGUAAAGUUAAUAUUGACUGUUUAGUUCAAAGACUAGUAGUGCAUUUAUUGUCCGUUUGUUUCACCGAAGGUAAUGUUAAUAUUGACGGUAGAACUAUUUAUUUAUAUAGCUGUUAAAAUAAAAUUCUUCUAUUUCUGCUUUUGUUUUUGGCACAAAAUCAAUAACUUCAAAGUUAAAAAUGUAACAAAUAAGUUAAUAUUAUAUUUUUUUUUAUAAUUAAUUUUAUAAUCAAAGAUAAACUAUAUAAUAACAAAAAUAAAUUAAUGACUAUGCAUGACCAAAACCCACUUCAUGCAUGCAUGUUUCAAGGAGGCAGGAGCUAGAGAGGAAGAACCUUCAUUGCUUGUGAAACAGCCAUUUUGUACUUUAAACAUUUAAGCUAUCAAAGAACGGUGCUAAAGUUAUAUAUUUAACAUUCUCCUUCAUGUUUGAACUCAGAUACAUUUUAUAACGUCCAUAAUGUGGACUUAAAUUAGAUAAGAGAAAAUUAAUAAUGAUAAAAGUUUGGCGCAACUCGAACUCAGAACCUCCUACUCUGAUAUUGUAUGAAAUAACCGUUGUACUCUAACAUAACGUUUGGUUAGAGAACUAAAUUUUAAAGAACAACUUUUAUUAUUUUUGAGAACAGAGGAUACUUCGGUACAAGAAAAAAGAAUUAUAAAUUUGUAUUUGGAUGUAUUUGGAGAUAUGCUAGAGGAUUUUUUUUUUUCUUUUUGAGCGAAAGGUGGCAUGCAACCCGUUUCGUUUAUUUCAUUUAGAAAUAAACUUAGCUGGAAAUGUGAAUCAACUAGAUUCGAACAUGGGUCUCGGGUACCAACCACCAUGCCCUUUUGCCACUUGCGCUAGCUAGGGACGGUCAGAGGAUAUUUUUAGUAGCGUUUGGAUAAAAAAUAUAGAACAAUGUCUAAAUAUAUUUUUAAAAAUAAAAUAAUUAAUUUAUAUUAGUAUAUUUUGUAUAAAUUUAUUUAUAAAAUUAUUUCAUAUAGUAAUUUAUAAUAUAAUUUUUAUGUAACAAUAAUUUAAAAUAGUAUAUUUAUUUUAUUGUAUAUAAUAAUUUAUUUUAUAUAAUUUAUUCUACCAUAUAAUGUUAGAACAAAUACCGCAACGAAAAUCUGAUUAUGAUUUAAAUCUAACUAAAUUUUAUUAUGAAAAUAAAUAAAUCAACUUACAGAUAAUUGCUAAAUCUAAAUAAAGAAUUUGAUCGAUCCGGAAGCGUGCGAGGCACUGUUCUAAGGCGUAUUUCCGUCCUUCGUGUGGGAUUAACUGGAAACACCGGCCCAAGAUACGAUCGGAAUUCCUCCUCUUACGAGCACGAACGUGAAAGAGGUUGAUGGAGACUGGAGACUCUUUCAACACCCGAUGACAAAAAAAUCAAAAC
rnacentral:lncRNA from 1 species